rnacentral:lncRNA from 1 species
CAAUAAAACACAACUAAAAAGUCAAAUCUAUGGAAAAAUAUACUCGCCUCUUGCAUCUGAACUCCAGGAGCAUUGCUGUAUGCACGUAGACUUUCCAGAACUUGCACUUUGAUUGAACUUAGAUAUGUCUUGCUAUUCAAAUUUUUCCUGCUCAUUAUUAAAUGAACAUAUAAAAGAUGUGAAAGAUCGAUUAUAUGGCAUGCUCAAACAACAAAAAAAAUAUUUGAAUAACAUGCUAAACAAUCACUGUAACUUCAAUCUUGCAUCUUAUCAUAAGAGUUUAGAAUUCUGUAUUGCCAUAUCAUAUCGUGCUAUAUCCAUAUCCGUAUCAUAUUUAUUCCAAUCUACCAUAAAAAUUUCUACGACAGAAAAAUCGUCAUAUUGGCAAGGAGAUCUAGAAGGAAUGUUCAUUACCAUAUUUGGCAUUCUGGAAUCUUUAGAGAAUAAUCCGGGAAAAAUAUUCGCUAUAACUCAUUCUCUGGAAUUUCUGCAAAAGAAAUGUCUUUAGUUGCAAAUAAGAUGGCCGGUUUUGGAAGAUGAAUAAAAAAUAACUGCAGUAAAUAUCCUUGGAAUAAGGCCCAUGCUAACUGCUGGACCUAGCGCUAUAUAAAAGUGAAUCGCCCAUUAAAAAUUUAUUGAACCAAACAAGAAUAUAUAAAGAAGCCCUACAGAGUCUUAGUUCAAUAAUCUGAUCGAUAGCACGCUGCUAUUGCAACUCUUGCUACAUAUGUACUCUGUUUUGCGGUUUCCGUGAAACUAUAGUUUCAAGACACCAAAUGUUGUAAACAGUACUAGGUUUAGUUAGACGGUUGAGAUUCUAGCAUCUAUUAGAUGAAAAUUAUAGUAAAAUAUAAUUUGAUUUCCACCACCAGUCUCAUCUCCCGACAUCUUCAGUUACAUUAGGAUAAGAAAGAAUCACGCCAGUACCAUCAAGGCAGAUUGACUCAAUACUAACUAACUAAAUCAAGGAUCCUAAAUGGACGACAUAGCCAUGCUUAUACAUGUCUAUCUUUAAAUGAUAUAAACCUCUACCAUGCUAAACAACAGCAACGCUUGAUACAUAUUUCUGCAAAUGCUUCUUGUAAACUGGCACUAAAAAUCAUAAAGUGUUCUUCACUUAAACUUCUAGAGUAAUUCUAUGAUUCACAAACAGUAACUACAUAAAGACGAGAUCCAAAACUUGAUGAAAGGCUCAAUACAACACGAACAAACCAUUUGAAAGUCGGUGUCUAAGAGAACCCAGUUCAAACCGUCCAACAGCGAGCACAUUUUCUUUGGUGUAUCCCACCACCCCAGUUACCUGUCAAGAUAGAAAACAUUUGAUUCCUGAAUUAUACUAUAACAAGAAAAAAUGUUGAUUUUCCACACAUACCAAUAGAGCAAGUUAAAUUCUUCACGAACUUCACACAUUCAGAGUGCCCUGUUGGGGAAAAAAAAUAUACUGAGUGAAGAUCCAAUCAGAUCCCAUUAAAGGGGAAAAAAUAUGCAUAAACUAUAAGGAUCGGAUUACUAUAAACUGAUUUAAAUACCAGAAAGUGGCUUCUUAGUAAAACAUCAUAUCUAUGAGCUAGAUUCUGUUACUGAUUCUUGAAGAUCAAGAGAAAACUUAUUUCAAAAAUACUUCCAAAAAAAAGAAAGAAUAUUAAGCAUGCACGAAAGUCAGUACUUCAAUGAGAGAUUGAAACACCUAAGCGAUCACCAGCCAAUGAAUCAGCUCACAUUGAAGAACAAUAACACGGUAGAUAUGUUUUCAACAACCUUAGUCAAUUUAUCUAAGCUAAGUAAAUGCAGCAAGGAAACAAGUAAAAUCGAACUAUGAUGUAUAAAUAUCAACAACUGCAGUGUACAAAGGCCAAUAACUCACCGUUUUAAAAAGUCGAGUAAAUAGCCAUCGUCAAUUCCAUCCUCUGAGAGGGACAUUGAUGGCGUAAUACUUUCCUUCCCUUUCACGCUAUGUCCUUUUAACGAAGGGGAAGAUUAUCAUCUCACUAUCAUAAGAAACAUUGAAAGAACAAAAUAGAGGACCUCCCACUGAACUAGGUUAGAGAGACAANNNNNNNNNNNNNNNNNNNNNNNNNNNNNNNNNNNNNNNNNNNNNNNNNNNNUCCAGAAAAUAGCAAAAAAAAGAAAAAGAAAAAGAAAAAAAACGACGGCCUUGUAUAAUCAGUUAAAUACAGAACGAUAAUUUGAAGCUUGACAGUUCAAAAUUGUAGAUGCCCAUUGGCAGCUAAACAGGAAAUGCAUUGUUAAAGCCCGUCAAAACCACACUUAAGUUCUCCAGUUGUAGAAACAACUCCUGAAGUUUGCUUCCCUUCUUGGAAAACCCCGCCAAACACAAUGAGGAAAUCAUGUGGAGGGUCCAAUAAACACCAUUUUGCAAAAUUUGAGCAGUUGUAGCGAGGGCACAAGAUCCUAGUUGGCCAUACAUCUUUCAAACAUUCUUGGUCCUUUCACUCUCGCAUUACUGAAUCUUGAGCUAAUUCGUCACUGGGUUCCCAGAAGAAUUUUUAUUUUAUACAUUUCUAUCCAAAGGUAAUGUGAUGCAACAUUCUUAUAUCUAUCGAAGCGUUUGAUCAACCAAAAAUCUAAAGCCUUUUAAUGCUAAAACACGUCUACACAGUUUUUCAACUGCCGUGAGUAGAUGGUUCUAACAACAGAGGAAAACUUGAAUAAGGAAAAAGUAGAACACUUAAAAUCGAGAGAUCACCCUCUUCGUAUCGUUGGAUAGGGGCGAGACGCGUCGCUCGUUCAUGUCGGGGCGGAGCAGCCAUGACUCGUAGGCUGGCGAACCGGGGGGCACUGCGGCUCUCCUUGUCCUCCCAUAACAGCCGCCGCCGACCGCGGCCGAAGCCCGACGAGCGCUCUGUCGCCUCCUCGUCCCCUCAUGAAAGAAUGACGCCGUGAAGUCACGAGGUUAGGGCACGACGGAGGGGGCGACGCGCGCCCAUUGGGCUCGCGCUCGGGCGAGGAUGCGGCGGGAGCGGAGGAAAGGAGAUCGAGGGAAGAGCGAGCGGAACCUCUAGGGAAGGAAGAGGCGAGGGUGUCGAGGAGGAAGAGAGAGCGACGAAGCAUGGUCCUCUUCCUUGCGCGCGGGGAAUAGCAGAUCAAGGGGAGGGGCGUGCGGGAGAGAAUGACAGAGGAGUGUGUCGCGACAGAGGGAUAAGGGGUGGACUCGUCACGUGGCAGAUGGAUGACGGCGUGCUUAUCCAGUUUUUCCGCGGUGUACACUGGAUGACUAACGGUAAGUAUGGGAGCGGAUCGAACUGAUUAGAAAACUAUAAAUAAACCGACGGACCGGAAAACCAGACCAGACCGACCCUUGUGCAGCAGAGUCGUGCGUCGCAAAGGCCGUUGUCGCCUAUUCUAGCCGCUCUUCCGUUGCUUCAACUGGCUCCCCGACGAACGACCGCGCUUCUCUUCUCCGCCGCUAUUUCUUACGCCCUGUCCCCCUCCACAUCUCCUAAUCCUAGCGACGACGCUUCUCUGCUGCGAAUCCGAGUAGCUCUUCGCAAUAGCAAGGGGAAGAUGGAAGAGUGGUCGCUCGCUCCGCGCUCUUCGAGGAAGCAAGAAGAAUCCAUUCCGUCUUUCGAUCCUCUGUGGAUCAGGUAUCUCGAAUAUAUCCCUCGCUUCCUAUACCAAUCCCCGCCGUAUCGCAAGUGGAAUUCAUCGAGUACAUCAGCAACUGUGGUUGAGUGUUUUAAUUUCUUUCUUCAAAAAUUGCAUUGUAAUAGGAGACCACGCUGAGGAAGGGAAUCGGAGGGCCCGUGCAACGCUGCGACGAGAUUGGGAGCAAGCUGGGGCUCUUCUCGCUCAACGAGACCAAGGACGACGUCAGCCACCGCCACCGCUUCAGUAUCUCCUCGUAAGCUUUUCUGCUUCAUCUUCUCCGAUGAUUGCUCAAUCGCGCACAACGUUUUUAAUUUACCAAAAGGCACCUAUGGCUUAAUCCCUAUAUACAUGCUGUAACAGUCAGUCCAAGACUUCUGUUUACAAAAUUUCAGUCAAUUGAUAUGAAGGAGCUUAGUAUUAGUACAAUCAAAGCCAUAGACAUAAGCUGGAGGUUAGUCGUCCCAACUUAGAAAUCACCUGAUUGUAUAGUUGAAAAUUGCGACAAAUAAAGUAAUGCAUGUGGAAACGAUGUCGCAGUAUCGGCACUAAUCAUCCUCCUUAAUGAGUGCAUAUGUAUUGUCUUUUAGUCACACUUUUAGCUAGCAGAAGUCUUAAAUGCGUUUGUUUGGGUAGUCGUCAACUACAUGUCUCACGUCUUUCAGGUGCAAUUACAAUAUACAAAAUCUUCAUAAAGAUUUUGACUUGAAAUUUCCAAAGAACAAUUAAUAUGACAAAAACACCACAUUUACACCAGAACAAAUUACAAAGGGAAAACCAAACUAGAACAGUAAAUAUAGCAUGAGUUCACUAAACCAACAAUCUGCCAAAAAACGAUUACCUUAACAUUGCCUGUUCCAGGGAAGAACAUAUCUCCGUACUUGUGAAAACUUACGGUCAUCACCCUAUUAAUAUAUGCAGUAAAAUUUCAAUUUUAUGCCCAGUUGUACAAAUUCAUUAAAAGCAACCUGCUUUUUUUUUCUUAACUAAAAAGCUUUAAAUAAAAACAAGCUGUCAAGAAUUAUAAACUUACAACAACAGAAUGACAUUUUACAUAAAUGUCUGAACUUUUCAAAUCAGACCAGCACUAACCUGUCUGUGAAAUAAAAAGCUUCUUCAACUCCAUCUCCAUGAUGAACAUCUAUAUCAAUGUAGAGAACUCUUGCAUGGUACUUUAGAAGCUCCAAAAUGCCCAGGACCAAGUCAUUGAUAUAGCAAAAGCCAGAUGCCUCACACUUCUUAGCAUGGUGUAAACCACCAGCCCAGUUUAUAGCAAUGUCACAGAGUUGAUGAUUCAAUCUUCGGGCAGCAUCUACGAGAAUGGAUAAAAAGAGAGAGACAACCUAGAUGCAAUAAAUAAGGUAUGAGAUCGACUUAAAGUACCUAUUGUGCCACCAGCAUAAAUUUGACAGAACUCGAACAAGUUCUCGAAAACAGGGCAGUCUUCCCCAAGAUUAUCUGGAAAGAACAUUUAAUGACAUAACUAAAUUAAGUAUGAAACAAGUGAACCAAAAGCAAAUGGUAUCAAAAAUAUACAAACAUCUUUUAACAUGGAAUGCAGAAGAUACAUUGAUGGAACGAAAGGAAAAGAAGACACUGUUUAGCAACAAGAUUUCUGAAAUUGAAACAGAACUCAUACUAUCAGAAUAGGCAAAUAAGAUAAACUUCGAGCCAAAGACAUACAUAACUGAUUUACAAACUCAAUAGAAUAUAUUGUUAGUUUGAUUUUUGUAAAUUAAGCACAAUAGAGAGAUAACAUUCUCACAAUAGAGAGAUACAUUCUACGAUGUUCAUUUCGAGGGUAUUCUAUGCUGUCACCGACUUAAGAAUUGCCAAAAAAAAUCUUGAAGCAAUAAUCAAGAAAAAAAGGGGAAAGGAACACAUUAUUGUACGCACAUCUAGCAAGUUCAUUUGCAAAUAGGUGUUGUGAGUCAGGAGUUAUCCGGUGCAAGAAUUCCACAUAAUCUGCUGAAUGGAACUGCGCAAGUUCCACCGGAUAUGCCUUGUGAGGCCGCUGCACAUGCAAGUAAGGUAUGCCAAAAAAUAGCCAAGCAUUAAAUUUUAAGGCAGCAAAAACCAUGGACAAGCUUAACAAACUGCAAGAAAAAACCUAAGACUAACAUAAAUCUCCAUCUUGUUAUGAAGUCCAUACGAAAGCACAAGAUGAUGUGUCAUACACAAACGAUGCGGUUUCAUUGGGUGAUUGGGUCCAAAGUAGACGUUACCCACAUCUCCUGCAAAAGCAACAGCACGAAAGGAAUUCAUAUAUACAGAAUAUGUUUGAAAAUAUCAACAAAAAUGAAAAUGCACGAUGCCAUACAGCUACAAGUCCAUAUAAUUUGUGAUUGAGCAUGUAUUGGUAAAUUUAACAGUUCUAACUGGGAACGAGAACCGUUUAAUUAAGCAUCUAAAACUACGAAUUAUAAUUAAAAGAAAGAAGGAAAGAGAAGUGAUCUCUAGCAACAAUGACAGGAUCUACGGGCUCUCUCCCACUUCCUAACUCUACCACUCUCCGCUCAGCUCCAUAAGAAGCGAUUCAGCAGUGGCAUAGACAAUAAAGCGACCCGUGCUUUGGGAAUCGAACACAGAAGUAAGCAUGAAUCGCGCUAGGGUUUUAUCUCAUCGAAGAGAAAGGGAAAAGGAUCGUUCCAGGAGGGGCUGAGAUUAGUAGCUUGAUCGGAAGAGAACGAGAGGUAUUGGCUUACCGUCGUAGAAAUAGGCUAUUCUUUCUUUGGGCGGCAUCGUGAGGUAGGGGAGGAGCUACGAGAGUAUCGCCAUGGAAGAGAAGCUUGCGAGCUUUGCUCGAGGGGAAAGAGGAGGGCGCGGAAAAGCGGAUACCUACCCUCGGCCUCCGAAGGGUUUUUAUUUUGCCUGCUAACUUUGGAACUUUAUAGUCCCUAAACAUUUUUUUCCCUAAACAAUUUUUUUUUGUGAAAUUUUAUUUUAACAUAAUAUUACCGACCCUAACACAAAUGAUAAACAACUUAUCAGUUGAUAUUCGAAAUUUUAAAUUUUAAAUUUAUAUUUUUAGUUAAAAAUUAAAUAUUUGACAUAAAUAUUUACCAAAAUUUUUAAUUUUUUAAUUUUUUUAAUUUGUACUUUAAUUUUAAUUUUUACUUUUGUUAAUAUUUAAAUGUGGUCGUGGCUCGUGACCCGUGACCCGUGACCCGUGACCCGUGAGAGAGGUUCUAUGGCCACUGUGUGCAAGCGGAUCGGUCCGAUCCGGAAUCGAAGUAUCUUCGCCCGCUAAAAAUGCAUUAAAAUACUGAAAAAGUAAGGGAGCGUAACAUGCGAAAACCACAACCAUGGUGUUCGGGAAAGUUCCACAGCCUGUAGGCGCCAGGUAAGUAUAUAGGCGAGAGAGAGAGAGAGGAUCGAGCGAAUCCAAAAAGAAGAAGAAGAAGAAGAGAUCUCCGGAGUCGCUCUCUUCGUCCCCUUUUCCCCUCUGGCAAGCGCAUGGACGAGAUCGGCGAGGCAUCCUCCUCCUCCUUCCGAGCUCCGCCGCCGCCCGAUCCGGAUCGGACGGUGAUCUGCAUCGGCGACAUCCACGGAUUAUUCUCGAAGCUCCGGCGCCUGUGGGCGAACCUCGAGGCCGCGGUGGGCGGCGCCGCCUUCGAGACGGCGCUCGUCGUCUUCCUCGGCGACUACUGCGACCGCGGGCCCGAGACGCGGGAGGUGCUGGAAUUCCUCGUCUCCCUCCCCGCCCGCUACCCGCGGCAGCGCCACGUGUACCUCUGCGGCAACCACGACCUCGCCUUCGCCGCCUUCGUCGGCGCCCUCCCCCCGCCCCCCGACGGGUCGCCGUUCUCCGCCACGUGGGAGGAGUACGUGGCGAGCGAGGCGCACGAGGGCUGGUUCACGGGGGAAGGGUACGAGGCCAUGCACGUCCAGGGCCGGCGCUGGGGGGGCUCAAUCAGGGAACGCUUCAACCCUAAGAAGAACAUGCCCUACAAGGGCUCCAUCUACGACGCCGCCCCUACCUUCGAGUCCUACGGCGUCCCCCAUGGAUCCGCCGGUGCGCCAGCUCAAAUCCCCUUUCUCAUCCCGACCCUUUGGAAGCGACCCUUUAGCUCCAUGGACAAAAAUCCAUUAUAAUUUUUGUUCCUGAUUUUCGUCAUAAAUAAAUUGUAAUUAAGUUUGGGAUUCUGAUCGCUAUGUUUUCGUUUCAGAGCUGGCAAAAGCGGUACCCGACGAUCAUAAGAAGUUCCUGCACGACCUGGUUUGGGUUCACGAGGAGGUAUCGCCGUGCUACGUACUCGAUCGCCUCGCAAUUUUAUUGAUUUUUUUGUGUCUUAUAUAUUGAAAGAAGAUGGAGCCAUUUCUUCUUUUCUCUUCUUUUUUUUUCCCAUUGAUGGAUAACUGUUGCAGGAAAAUGUGCCGGUUGAUACUGAUGAAGGAAGGAUCUGCUGCAAAUUGAUAGCCGUUCACGCUGGCUUACUGAAAUCGAAGGGGGUAGAUGAGCGGCUGAAACUUUUGAGAGCCAGGGAUACAAGACUGCCGAAGGUCCAAGAGCUUAGCGGGAGGCAGGAUGUGUGGGAAAUUCCAAAGGUAAUGCGGCGUUCUGUGUUUCAAUCCCCCUUCUCUUAAAACAUCAAAAACUUUGAUUGUUCGGGGAAUUCUGAGAUCCUACAAAAUGAUAGGUAGUGGGCAGAUUGGCACAGCACUAUUAGAGGGGUGAACAUGUUUGAGUGUUUUUUGUUAUGUAGAAAUCACUCGAGCAGCGACGAAUAGUGUAUUUUGUAGGCAGUUUUAACAACCAAUCACAUGCUUGGUUGCCCAGUAUGUGGCAAAGGUGCUGAUUCUUCACUGUAGGAAAAUGCAAAACAUUGACUGGCAGAAGACAAUCCAAAAGUAAUUCUUGAAAAAUAAUAAUAAUAAUAAUAAUAACCCAUGGGUCUAAUGUUUAGUUUGCUGAGGUUUUUCCUUUUAGUUCACUUGGUCGUGAUUGGAUGCGUCUAGGGCCUACACUUCUUCAUAACUCAGCUAAUAAGACUACAACGCUUUAACUCGUCAGCAUGGAGUCAGGUAGCUGCAUAAUUUAUCAGGUUUUUCAGGAAUAAAUUAUCUUCAAUAUGGUCAUUCACCAAAUGUGGGAGGAUUAACACUAGACAAAUGAAGCUGGGCCACAAUAGUUAAGUGAGAAGGUAGCUUGCCUAAAUCCAUAAUUUGGACAUGCAAUAGAGCAUUUUAAGGGGAAGAUGGACGCAAUGCAAUGCGAGUUGCAAUGGAAGAUUGAAGAACUUAUAUAUCAAUCUGCAACAUCAAAUAGGUAUAUUUGAAUAUUUAUCUUUAUUCUACUUUGCAUUUUGCAUCAGCAUCCACUAUGAUAGAGUCCUAGUCCAAUUAAUUUGGAAAGUUUAAAAGGCGAGGUGGGUAUGAAAUGCCUUAUUUUCUGGUCAUAGCUACUAAAUUUUUUUUUUUUUGAAGAAAGGUACAUGCUACCGCUUCAUUCAGUAAGAAAGUGAAUUAAGCUACAUGGGUGAGACAGCGAGGCCUCGGCGAGAAAUGGAUCGAUCAGAAAAAAAAAAAAAAAAAAAAAAAAAAAAGGUCAGUCAGGGGCAAGAGUCUUCCACUGUUCCAUCAGUUGUUUGAUCUUGUAUACACCUACUGUUGGGUCAGUCUGGGGUGACUUGAAGAUCGCUCUAUUCCGAAGAUCCCAGGUAACCCACCAGCCAGCUAUAAGUCCUAAGAGUCGGUCUGUUAAAGACGGAAGGAUUCUAUUUUUUUCUGCCCAUCUAUCCCAAAUCGCCCGCACAUCGUCACCCAAGUCUCCCAGUUGUAAGUUGUCAUUGGUGUUUGCCAUAAGGUAUCUCGUGAUGACACACUGCGAGAACAGGUGGUCAACUGUUUCCUCUUCCAGACCGCACAGCAUGCAUUUCGUAUUACCGAUCCAACCUCUCUUUACCAAAUUAUCGGCUGUAAGCGGUCUCUUCCUUAGGACAAUCCAACAAAAUACCUUCACUUUUAGGGGCAGACGUAAGGACCAGAUCUUACCCAAACGGGCGUCCCGUGUGCCUCCGUCAUGCAGAGUUGAGUAUGUUGACUUCACAGUAAAUAUACCGUUGGUGCUCCAACGCCACUGUACCCUAUCCUGUUCUUGGCUUGUAUGAACAUUGGAAAUCCUGUCCUUGAGGGUUGUAAUCAUGGGAUUCGCACUGGGGUUAGCAGAAAUGUCCUCAGUCAGGAUCAAAUCCCAGCACCAGCCGUUUUCACCCAGGCAUUCAUUAAUUCUGAGGUUUUUACGAGAGGAAAGGUUGAAUAUCUCCGGGAACGCUGCACGUAGCGUUGUUUCCCCACACCACCGGUCCUCCCAGAAGUCAACAGUGCUCCCGUUACCCAGCUUAUAGGCUACUCCCCAUUUGUAGAUUCCCUUAAGACUAAGGACAUCCUUCCACCAGGAGGAAGACGGUCUAAAAGAUCGUCCCUCUUUCAGCGGUUUUCUUCUUCGAUAAAACAUGUCGCGAAUAAGUUUGUUCCAUUGUAGCUGUGGUGCAUUCUGAAAUUUCCACCACCACUUAACAAGUAGGGCUCGGUUCAUCGUACUGAUAUCCAAAAUGCCCAGUCCACCCUCCUUCUUAUCCCUACAGACACACUGCCAAGAAACUAGGCAUCUUAUUCCUUGGGUAUUCAGUCCUCCGGUCCAGAAGAAGUCUCUCCGUAGCGCCUCAAUACUCUUAAUUACCCAUUUAGGAGCCAUGAAGACCGAGAGAUAGUAGAGAGGAACGUUGGAUAGUACUGCAUUUACAAGGAUAAGUCUGCCCCCUCUCGAGAGCAACUUCCCCCGCCACCCGUCAAUUUUACUUUGGAUUUUACGAAUAAUCCCUCUUCAAUCCUCCUUAGACGGGGGUCUGAUCGACAGAGGCAAACCCAGAUACUUGGUAGGUAAGGAACCGACUUUACAUCCAAGCAAAUGUGCGAUCCAACUAGCUCUACCCUCUGUCUGUCCAGUGUAAUAAAUUUCUGAUUUCUCUUUAUUGAUUCGCAAUCCCGAUGCCCAUUCGAAGAGUUGCCAUAUGAACUUGAUGUUUCUGAGACAUCUUUUCUUGGCCUUACAGAAGACAAAAGUGUCGUCGGCAAAUUGGAUGAGGGUAGUUUUGGAUGUCUCUGCGGGACCAAUGCCAGUUAUAAGAUUAUUGUCCAACGCCUCAUUGGUAAGUCUGGCAAGACAUUCCGCCACUAGUAAGAAAAGAAAAGGGGAGAGUGGAUCCCCUUGCCGUACACCCCUCUUCGUCUUAAUCCAAUUGGUGACGUCGUCGUUGAUCAGGACAGCGACCUUAGCGUUGCAAACACAAAGUUUAAUCCAGUUGCACCAUUUUUCGUCGAAACCCCACCAGUGUAAACAGCGAAAGAGAAAAGGCCAAUAAAUUUUGUCGUACGCCUUUUCAAAGUCUACCUUUAUGCCAACUCCCUCUGCCCCUGCCCUACUACCCCAAGCUAAGAGCUCCCUAACCGUCACAAAUGCAUCGGUAAUGUUUCUCCCCUUCAGAAAGGCCGAUUGAGUAGGGGAUACAAGAUCGCUCAUCACGAGCUCCAAGCGGUUAGCUAGAACCUUAGAUAUGAUCUUUUGGAUCCCGUUUAGUAAACUUAUGGGUCUGAAUUCGCUCACACGUUUGGCUCCUUCCUUCUUAGGGAUUAGGCAGAUAAAGGCGUAGUCAAUGGGGCCGGUAGACAGCUUCUCCUCAAACAUUUCGAGGAAUAUGUUCAACAGGUCACCUUGGAUUGCGUCCCAGAAAGUUUGAUAGAAACUCAGUGGGAAACCGUCUGGGCCCGGCGCCCUAUCUUUCCCCAAUUGGAACACGGCUUGCUUGAUCUCAUCGGUACUAAAUGGCCCUGAAAGAAGAGAUAGGGUGUCAGAGUUUAUGCGUCUGGAUCUGAAAAGGUUGCUCCAGUCCCCAAACGAAGUUGGAGCCGAAUCUUCCGGCGUGAAAAGCUCCCGGAACUUCUCGAAUAAGAGGUGCUUCUUGUCCCCUUCAGAGCGGUACACUGUUUCGUCCUCUUCCAGUGUGUCAAUCCUGUUCGUUCUCCUCCUGCCGUUCGCUAUUGCGUGAAAGAAUUUAGUAUUGCUAUCUCCUUCUUUAAGCCAGUGUUGUUUAGCUCUCGUCCUCCACAGCGCUUCUUCGUCUUUGAGUACCCGUAGCAAAUUAGCCUUCAGUUCUUCCCUACGCUCAAUAGCUUCCGUGACUAAAUCGCCCUUCUCCUCGUCGUUAUCGAUACCCUGGAUUUCCUCCAUUAACUUAGAUUUAUGUCCCUUAAUACUAUAAAACUCGUUAUUGCACCACUCUUUGAUCCUCGUUCUACAGUGCCUCAAUCUCGCUGUGAAAGUUAGUACAGCUGUUUGUUUCACUGGCCCCUCUCGCCACCAACCAGGCAGUUUGGCAACAAAAUCAUCAUGGAGUAGCCAAGCGGCUUCGAACCUAAAAGUCUUCUUCACUCUGGGGGUGGCUUUCUCGAUUGAGAGAAGGAUGGGACAGUGGUCCGAAGUCACUCUGGGAAGACCGGUGACCUUCGAAAGGGGAAAAGCCUGGUCCCAUUCCGUCGAGACUAGGAAACGAUCCAAUUUAGCAAGCGAAGGCUCCCGCUGCAUAUUGGACCAAGUAAAAGAUUGGUUAGACAUGGGAAGAUCAAGAAGUUCCAUGUCCAUAAUAAGCUUGUUAAAUAACUCUGUUGCUCGCGAACUCCAAUUCUUUCCACGCCGCUCUUCCUGGCUCCUCGUGCUAUUAAAAUCUCCACAUAAUAUCCACUUCCCUUGACAGCACCCUUUCAGUUGCAGCAGCUCCAAGUAGAAGUCCUCCUUUCCGUCCCAAGUGGCCGGUCCAUAAACAUUUGUCACAAAGAGUCUAGUACCGUUGCUAAGCAUGGUUACCUGAAUCGUAAUGGAGUAACGACGAACAAUAACUUCAUGACAGGAGAAAAUGCGGGAGCUCCAGCAAGUGAUCAAACCCCCAGAAGCUCCGGUGGCUUCGACAAAAACGCAUUUGUCCAGAAAAGACCCGGCGAAGCUACGAAGGAAGGACCCCGAAACUAGACUAACUUUUGAUUCUUGAAGACACACUAUAACAUUACGAACCUUAGAAAUUACAUCCUUAACCGCAAAACGUUUAGAUGGGUCAUUAAGCCCUCUAACAUUCCAACAUAAGACCCUAAACAUAGUAAAUAACAUAAACCACCCCCCCAAGGAAGCCCCAAAAGGUGAUCAGUACCUACACCGCACGACCUACUUAAACAUGUUCUUUCACAAACUCGGCGAACUGAGUAGCCUCGACACCAUCCAGGAUCACUCCGCACCGGCGGCUUUUCCGAAUGAUCUUCCGCAAAGUAGGCUCUGGCUCUGCCACUAAGUCGGAUCCGCCGCCCCGCAAUCUGGCCUUCCUGGAGAUUGCUUUGGAGAGGAUGGUAGUCUUCUCCCCGCUUGCUAGACGUGCACUGGCUCGCAAUCCGUCGCCGAUCCCCUGUAUCGCUCUAACAACAUUGACGUAAUCGCCCGCCGCCGCGUCUCCGAUCGAGUCCUGGCUGCAACUGUCGCCGUAGCAGGGGGUUACAUCAUCCCUAACAGGCGUCUGGGCACCCACAUCAUACUCUGUAUUUCUAUAGCAAACCCCAUCCCUUGCAACCUGUAUCACAGCCUUGACUUCGAGACUUAUCGUGAAAGAGCACAACUGUUCGCCUAACAGGCUACCAAUACGAAGCUCCCCGUCUCGCAGCAUCGACCCAGCAGUAAUCAGAGGCGGGAUCCUAUUAGCCAUGGGGUUGAAAAGUCCCUCACCCAAGCCAAUAAGGGUGGUCCAGUUGAGGUACGGUAACUGGGCCCUCAUCGGCGGUCCAAAAAGAGCUACAGGUGCACCCCCAUGCUCAAUUAAUAGCAGGUGAUACCCACAACGUUUCAUAGAAAAAAGCCGUGCUUUUUUAAAGCAAGGCAGAACGGAUUUGUCAACUCCCGAGGUUUGACCAAGCCCAAUAAAUGCCCCACAAGUCACCACCCUCGAUGACACCUUGGGCACCUUGGGCGAGCGGCGUUGGUCUCGAGGCGGAUCAAUUGGCGAUUGCGAAGGACAGGGGGCUUUUGAACUGGGGACAAGAUGGCGUUGCGCCGUCUGCGCCAACGACACGCCCGCAACCUUGCCAGAGCAAACCUCGGAUUUCGGGGUAGCUUCAUCGUAACCCGAGUCCGACCGUUGCUCCAAUCGGCCCGCUCUCCUCCUACCUGUCGCCGUGCUCCAGCCCCUUCCGUUCGCCGGUCGAUUUGCCGUUCCCUCCGAUGCUGGCGGUAGCGACAAGGCCCUCAGAUCCCGAUUCAUCGGACUCGCAGAUCCGGCGUGAUCGAGUUCCCCGGUCCCUUCUCCCAUCUCCUCGUCGGUCCCUGCUUGACCAUCGUUGCCCUGGACGCCACCCCGUCUUGCGUCCUGAUCUUGAAUCCCGUUGUCUGGUCCAUCUCUAGGCGGUGCCGGUGGCUCGCCUCCGUUGCCGUCCGCCUCCCGCUCCCAACUCUCCAGGUGUAACAUCACAGAGAAGAUCUCCUCCCCCAGCACGAUAGAUAGGUUCUGCGGAAUUUCUCGAAGCGAGUCGAGAGAGAUCUGGCACCUGAAAGCGCGGAGAUCAGUCAUCGCUUUGGUGGUCUCGUCGGCCUUGACAAACCGUCCGAACCCUCCCACCAGUGCGGCGACACGAGCGACCGUCCAGCAUUCGAACGGUAAAUUGAUAAGUCGUAUCCAAGCCCUGAAGCUGGCUCUAUGUGGUCUCGCAUUACGGUAAUGUCCCCACUGAUAACAUCUGAUCCAGAAGCCAUCGAGUGUGAGGACCUCCCGCCGGGCAAGUACCUCCGCGGAAACCCAUUCCGGGAGGAAGAUAGCGUAAUCCCGAUCGCGGUAUCGAGCAACCGCAAAAUCCUGCCUGUAGCCUCCAAAACGUCGGGCCAUCGCACUUGCGAUGGUACGUAUGGGAUCUGGUCCCAAAUUAGCUGGCGGGAUGACGUCCGCCAGCACCGCAUUCCGGCGUAACUCCUUCCUUCUCAAAUACUCCUCUGUGUAAGGUACGUAAACCUUCGGGGCUCGCUCGCGUUGCCGAAAAGCCCUAUUCAUAUUGGCUCUCUCCCGCAGAUCAGACUUCUUGCAGUCGAUAACUCGGUGGCCGGACCUACGACACCGUAAGCACCUAACCGGAUCUCGACACUCCGCAAUCUGGUGAUCUGAAGCCAAGCACCUGAAACACCUUGGGCUGCUUCUCAGCUUGGUCCCCUUAGAGCUUCGAGAGACUCUGUAUGGCCGAGUGAGGGGUGGAACCUUAGUAUGAUGAGUGCUGAGGCCCCUCAACAAAGCCUCCUUAUAAGGGCAAGCCACUGUAAAUGCAGAGUUACUCCCCUCACCCUCCCCCCUGCCGCUACCCUUCGUGUCAAAUCUCUGGAUAGAUACGCUCUUCUUCCCUCGCGGCGAAACGGUAAUAAAACCUCUCUCUUCGUCUCGAGCCCUUCCCUCAAUCUCGUCAUGAACCUCGCUGAACGACAGUAAUGAUCCACCAACUUCGUCUGCCCAAGCCACCCUUUUUACCACCCUCUUCAAACGCGAGUCGUCCUUGGAGGUGGCGCAACGAUAAAUCAGGGUGGGAGAUGCCUUGCUCUUCCCUGUCGAGUCAUGAACUCUGACAGCGUCGUCAACAACCAGUUGGGAUGGUAGUAAAGAUGAGAUCCCCUUACUCCCACUCCCUCUCCCUGUUCCUCGGCUCCCUACUCUCCCUCUCCCAGAUCCACUCCCACUCCCUCUCCCUGUCGCGCUCAUCCUGUUUGCCAAUAUUAUUCUAUGAUUUGAGAAUAUUUUUCCGGAACCGCACUGUUGACUACGAAUUUAGUUGUUGGUACUUGAGACUUCAAGUUCAAAACUAAUUAUUUCGCAAUUUAGCUGAGAUCUUUUUUAAAAAAAUAAGCGAAACGGUUAUAUAGCUUGCUAUCUUUUUCAUAAUAAUAAUAAUUAACUCACCGAUUAAUAAAAAUCUCUUCCUUGUGUGGGUUUCUUUUAGUCCAUACCUACUGUAAUAAAUUAUGAGUAUUCGGAAAGUGCAUUGAUUCGUCAAAGUUCCUAAUCGAUAAAAGCAUUACUGCACAAUUUGGUAUGUGUCAUUCGUGCAAUUAGAACCCUAGCGUACGUAAAUCAACAUCUAAAAAUUGAGGUUUCAUCCCAGCUGUAAUUAUGAAAACUUCAACCGAAAAGAAAUGGGGGCUUCUAACUUUUGCUACCAAAUUAAAGUCAAACCAUAAUUUGUUGAAUAUUUAUUUAUUUAUUUUCUUGGUUUGGUUGGUUUUUAUAGGGAUCAGAGAAAAAGUUGCUCAUCUAGACUAUUUGUCAGCGCAAACUGUCAAAGUAGUGGGCUUUUUGUGAGAUUUGCUUUGAGGAAGAGAGAUUUUUCUAUAAUUUCUAGAAGAUGAAUUGGAAAGAUAACACACGCCCUCCACUUGAGACCAUCAUCCAAAUAUAUGUGGAGGAACAGCACUGCUAAAUUAAAAAAUGGGAAAACUUCAAAAACCCCCCUUAUGGUUUCAAUUUUUCUCACUUUAGUACCCUGUGGUUUAAAAUGUAUCAAGUUAGUACCCUGUGGUUUCUUACUUCAUCACUUUAGUACCCUGUGGUUUAAAGUGUAUUAAGUUAGUAUCAUGUGAUUUUGCAUUUUAUCACUUUAGUACCCUGUGGUUUAAAAUGUAUUAAGUUAGUACCCUGUGGUUUUGCACUUUAUCACUUUAGUAUCCUGUGGUUUCACACUUUAUCACUUUAGUACCCUGUGGUUUUAAUUUGUAUCAAGUUAGUACCCUGUGGUUUUUUAAAUCACAGGGUACUAAAGUGAUAAAGUGUGAAACCACAGGGUACUAAAGUGAUAAAGUGCGAAACCACGUGAUACUAAAGUGAUAAAGUGCAAAACCGCAGGGUACUAGCUUGAUACAUUUUAAACCACAGAGUAUUAAAGUGAUAAAGUGAGAAACCACAGGGUACUGAUUUGAUACAUUUUAAACCACAUGGUACUAAAGUGAUAAAGUGAGAAACCACAGGGUACUAACUUGAUAAACUUUAAACCACAGGGUACUAAAAUGAAAAAAUGUGAAACCACAGAGAGGGUUUUUGAAGUUUUCCCUUAAAAAAUUAAUAAAGUGAAUCUGGAGGCUUUUAAAAGUGCAUAGAUUAAUACGAGUCAAAUUUUAUUUUUGUUUGUAAACUAACCAUUUAAUUACUAUUGUCUCGAUUAGUUUAGUUAUCAGCUUACGACAUAAAAAGUUAGUAAAAAAUAGAUCAGCUCCCAGUCAAUUGAUUUGCAAUCGUAUAAUAUAUAUAUAUAUAUAUCGAGUAAAAUUCUCAAACGGAUUGAAAAUGACAAUUUAUUACAAUUUGAUAAAAUUUGUAGUCUAUUUCUAAAUAAAAUAGAAUAAAUAUUUAAAUUUAUCAGAAAUAAAUUAAUAUAAAUUUAAAUAUUAAUUAGAGUAAGAAUUAUAGUUAUACUAGAUUUGGAGGUAUGUUUUAGUGGAGCUAGCAUUAUAUAUAAAUUAUUUAUAAAUGGUUAAAGCUUGAAGUUGCUAUCCCCCGGUUGAGGUUCUCCAACAAGAGUGUAGGAUGAGGUAUCUUGAAGUCAUCAGCGGAUCGUACUAAAUGGGCGUGUCCAUGGUUGCAUGCACCUAAUGUAUGGGCGCAUGGGAGAGAGAGAAAAAAAAAGAAAGAAAAAGAGAGUAGUUUUUUAGGUUUAUAAAAGACGAGAAAUAGAUAUGAGAGAUUUAAAAAGAUUNCAAAUUUUAAAUUAAAGUAUUGUACUAAAAUCAAACAAAUUGAAAAAUUGGAUGGUUAAAAUUAAAAUUCUGAAAGGUCGGAUUGCCAAUUCAAAAUAGUCCACAGUUGAUCGAGUAGAUUUGAUAUAUCUUUAUCCAUAUUCUAUAAAAUGUAAGUGCUCAAAAAGACUUUAAAUUAAAGUGAAAAAAGAAGUUUUUUUCCUCUUCCAAAUAGAGCUGCUCAAAGAGGAUCCAAGUACAUAAUACAUUGAAUGAGAGGGUCUAAUUAAAGUUCUUUUUCUUUUUCUUUUUUGUUUUUUUCUUUUUCCUUCAAAUUAAAACAAAGGUUUAUUCAAGGGGGAGUUAAAGUAACUAGGAAACAUGACCUAACUCCUCCCUUUCCCUACAACUUUUUUGUGUAGGAAAAUUUGGACCCGCAAUUUGGCCAGUGGAUGUAGUGGGGCCCAAUUCAAUAUCUUUGGCCUAAAUUCUCCAUUACUCACGAGUGCAAUAGAAUGUGCAUCUUUUUCCCACUCAUAUAGCAUAUAUAUAAAUAUAUAUAUAUAUUUUUUUAAAGUUAUUAUUAAAUUAUACAUGGAGCUGAAGAAUGAUCAAGUAAUAAAAUUUAGGGAUAUUAUUUAUUGAAAUAAAGAGUAUUAUUUCAAGCUACCAGAUUAAUCCUUUCGUUAUGAUAUUAUCUCGGUUUGUGAACCACAUACGCACUCACCUGCACCUAGGGCUGGCAAUUCAGCUCGCUAUUCGCAAAUCAGGUCGUGUUCGACUCAAAAUGAACUCGAGAUCAAUCGACUUGUUUAUUAAACGAGCCGAUCACGAGCUAAAUUUUUCAGCCCGAAAUCUUAAUAAGCUGAACAUGAGCUGGGAUAAGCUCGUUCGUAUUCGACUCUAUAUAACUUAAAUAUAUACAUAUAUAUUAUAUAAAUUUCUACUAUUUUGAUUUUAGGCCAACUCAAAUAUAAAGAAGCCUAUAUUUUGUAAAUUCUAAUUUUCUAAUUUUCUUUCAAAGCCGAAUAUGAGCUAAAUUUUUCAGCUCGAGAUUUUAACGAGCCAGCUUGUGUUUGAUUCGUUUAAUAAACAAACGAAGUACACGAGUCAGUCCCAGCUCACUCUUCUUCCGAUUAUCGACAGUCUUCCUGCACCUAUCUCGCUUGAAGCAGAAAUCGAUCCCUAAUUAUACUUUAGAGAGUAAAGGAUAUCAAACAACCGCUUUAAACAGUGGCGACCAAAAAAAAAAAAAAAGAAAAUUCAUAUCAAAAUAAUGAUUGGGAGUAGAGCUCACAUUGUUGUUGCUUGGAAAACAAAUCUUGCUUAUAUGGAUAAGGAGUACGUGUUGAUUUUGAUAUGAUCAAACGACAAAUCCCAUGUGAAUGUGAAGCGAUUCAGUUAGUCAAGGGUUAGGCCAAUGACAUUGAUACUUUUCAGCCCCAACUUUUGUAGAGUCAAUCAUAACUAGAAAGAAUAAAUGAUAAUUUGGUUCGAAUUUAUCUAACUAUUUAUGAAUAAAGAAAUCAUUUAUUUGAAGACCUUUUAUUUUGGCGUUUUUAGUAUACGGAAGUCCACGGUUACGUGUAGCGUCGCCACCUGUAGUAUGAAACUUUGAUUUAAUUAUUCUGUAAUUUUAUAUUAAUUUCAUCAUAAAUGCCUGUUGUUAAGUAUGGUAGCAAAUUAUAUUCUUUGCAAAAUAAGAAAUGAUAAAGUACAUAUUAUAGAACGGUAAUUUUUUUUUGAGAAAUAAGUAGCAAGCUACAUGCUUCAUUUAUUAAGAAAAAUGAACUAAGCGUAUAAGAUGGAAACAGCUAGAGCCUCCGAUAGGAAAGAGGCAAACAGAGGUAAGAGUAAGAAGCGAAAGAUAGCGGGUUAGGUGAGGAAAGAAAGAGAGAAGGUCCAAUUACAUAUCAGAGCAGUGCGGUUCAAUCACUCAUCAAAAGAUUGACACGUUGUACAGCCCUAGUAUCAUUAGGCAGAGUUCCCUCGAAGACGGAGUUGUUUCUAUUGGAUUUUAUUAGGUUUGUUAUGAUUUAAAACUUGUUAAGGCCCCUUGAGAGCCAAAUAAUUGUUAAUAGGCCGCUUGGGGAGCCCAACUAAAUUCAUGCGUGAUGUUUAAUUCCACAUUGAAAAUCAAAAGGGUGUUUGUUGUUUUUAUAUAUUCUCUUGUUCUUAAGCUAGUUGCUUGGAAGAAAUUGAGAGUAAUGCUCUCGUUUAAAUACACACACGAGCACGAGCACGAGCCAAGUCGGGCCGGGCGGGCGGCGGCGCGCGUGGUUCGUACACCCGGUUUAUUUUAUUUUCUUUUUUCGAUUUUAUCUUUAUUUUAAUCAUUAUCUUUAUCUUUAUCUUUAUCUUUAUCCUAAUCUUAAUCUUUAUCCGUAUAAUCUUAGGCUUAUCUUGUUCUAUACGGAUUUGACGCGUUGAAACAAGAUUCUCGCCUAGGUUAUAAAUAUGGGGCGAGAUUGCACGAGUUAAUUAAUAAUAACACGAGCAUACCUAAAGCGUCUCGUCUUUUACUACUUUCUGAGUUUUCGCCGAGUUUCCUUUUGCUGGAUCUGAAACUAGUUGGAUUCAUCUUGCGCCACCUUGGAAGCGUGCCGAUGGAGUGGAACGUGGUCGUUGUAUCGUUAGGAGUAAUUGCCAGAAAGCCUCACACGUGGAGGAGCAAUUUCGCUUCUAGAACAAUGCUCUACACGCCUCGAUCCACAGGCCUUAUCUAAAUCUUUUCUUUAUAGUAUUUGUUAUUUAAUUUCUUUCUCGAAAUAUUUCGAAACUUAUAAUUUAAAUUUUCGAAUUGAUUUUUAAAGAAUAUUGUAAUAAAAGAUCAGAAAGAUUUUCCAACAGUUUCUAUCCCUCUAAACCACCCACCAGAUCGCAGCUAUUAGUGUUUGUUCUCGUCGAUUCGAUGGGACUGGCAGAAAUUCCGACCCAAAGGCUUCGAACGUCAUCCGUGAUGUCGACGGAUACAUCUAGUCCUUCCACGCUGAGGAGAAGGUAGCAUACGAAAACACAGUGAAUGAAAAAUGUGGUCAUGGUUUUCCGUGAGUACCGCGCAAAAGAUACAUUGUUGAUCCACAAGCAUGCCAUGGUUAAGCAAUCUGUCAGCAGUGGGUAAUCUCUUCCGCAGUAACAACCAAAUUAAGACUUUUAUUUUUACUGGGAUUUUCAAACUCCAUAGGUGUUGAUUCAUCGGGGUUCGCUGUCCAGCAUCAUGUUGGCCUAGUGGCCCUAAUCGUCUAUUAGUUUUUGAUGAUAACAAAUAAUCACGAUUAUUGGACUAAUCUUUUUAUCUUGAGUCUUGUGUUUUUAGAUCUCUCUAUCUUCAAAAAGGAUUCAAGAUGGGCAAUAUUCUGGCACCAAGCUUCACCUCUUGAAGCUGUGUUUGCUUCUUUUGUCAAAUAGACAAACUCACUCUCUCCAUUCUUAAUUGAUUAAUAUUAUGCUUAUGAUCAGAGUAAGAAACUUUGAGUUAAGUUUAAACUAUUCAUCUUAUCACCUUAUAGAUCAUUUAAACAAAAUUCUAAAUUUAUGAUUAGGUGAAAAGGACUUUUAAAUAUUCAAAAAUUGCUCAAAUUCUGUGUUCUGUAAAGUUAAAAUUUCUGGACCCUGUUCUGGGCGCCCGAAAGUGGAUCCGAAUCUUUUGAGACCUUUUGGAUCCUGCCUGUUUGCUGUUCGGGUGAUCCAGAAACACUAAGACUGUUUGACUUGACAGGUUGCGACAACAGGCGGCGCGAAAUCUGGGCGCCCAGAUUUUGUGGAAGCAGCGGCGCACGCAAUCUGGGUUGUCUGGCAAGAAAGUCAGCACGACUUUUUGAGCGCCCACAACUUUUGAAAGUUGUCCCUCGAGAUCUGGGCGCCCACAACUUUCUGACGGCCCAAAUCCAGAGGAAGCGGCGCGUGUCAGAAAAGCGGUUCCUCGUGUUCUGUGCGCCACAACUUUUGACGGCCCAGAACUUACGAAGUCAAGAAAAGCUGCGCGUGUCAGAAAUACUGUUCCUCGAGAUCUGGGCGCCCACAGCAAAAGACCUAAUCAAAAGAUUUGGCUUGGAAAGCUCAAAAGAGACGAACACUCCAAUGAGUGUCUCAACUAAACUUGACAAGGAUGAAAAAGGCAAGGAUGUUGAUAUCAAACUCUACCGAGGUAUGAUUGGCAGUUUACUUUAUCUUACCGCAAGUCGGCCGGACAUUAUGUUUAGUGUUUGCUUGUGUGCUCGGUUUCAAACUCAACCUAAGGAGUCACACUUAGUGGCUGUAAAGAGAAUUCUUAGAUAUGUUAAAGGGACUCUCAACUUAGGGUUAUGGUAUCCCAAGGGCACUAAUUUUAAUCUCAUUGGCUUUUCAGAUGCCGACUUUGCCGGAUGCAAAGUUGAUCGGAAAAGUACGAGUGGGACUUGUCAAUUUCUUGGUCACUCCUUAGUCUCAUGGUCUUCGAAAAAGCAAAAUUCGGUUGCACUUUCAACCGCCGAAGCCGAGUACAUCGCGGCAGGUUGUUGUUGUGCACAAGUUUUAUGGAUGAAACAAACCCUUGAGGACUUUGGACUACAUCAAAAACAAGUUCCAAUCAAAUGUGAUAAUACUAGUGCCAUCAACAUAUCUAAAAAUCCUAUUCAACAUUCUAGAACUAAACACAUUGAAAUUAGACAUCAUUUUAUUAGAGAUCAUAUUCAAAAAGAAGAUGUCACUAUAGAAUUUGUGGACACUUGUAAUCAAUUAGCAGAUAUUUUUACUAAACCACUUGGUGAGGAUAAGUUCACUCAACUUAGAAGAGAAUUAGGAAUGAUUGAUUUAUCUGCUUGAUUUUCCUUUUUGAUUGACUGUUAUGUUUGCUUUUCAAUUUUAUUUUUGGACACACAUUUUUGUUUUGCGCAACUUACGGACGAAAAUUUUCGGUCGCCUGAAAAUUUUCGGGCACCCGAAACAUGCGUUGACCACACAGUGCACCGUCUGACCGACCUAACGGGUUAACGGGCUUCGGAUCCGGGCGACCACUCGGUUCGCACCCGCACCCGAAAACCCGCCUUGACCGCCUCGCCGGUUUGACCGCGCUGGCGGGUUACCGGGUUCCGGAUCCGGGCGACCGAUCCGACCCGCACUCGCGCCCGCUUUGACCGCCGCGCCGUUUUGACUGCCCUGGCGGGUUCCGGGUUGCGGAUCCGGGCGACCUCGCCGACCCGCACGAGCGCCCGAAACCCGCUAGCGGGCCCCUUUGUCGUCCCCAGCAGCCCGACAGCCCUAUUUUCCAUUUUUUUUUCUCUUCUUCCUCCUCCUCUCCAUCCGGUCGCCCAGAUCCUGCGCCCACCCAGCAUCAAAUCCGCCCAAAACUCCUCCAAAACUCGGAUUUCCUCUCCUCUCCUCCUCAAUCUGUGGUAUUUUCCUUUCUUUUUAAUUUUUUUUUUCUCUUCUUCCUGCUGUUAACCCUAGGAUUGUAUUUUUUAAAAAUUUUUUUUUGCAGGUUUCUUGUACUUUUUGCACUAUAAUCUCAUUCUCUACCUAGAUUUACAUCUUAGCAUUUUAGAUCUUGCUCAUUUUUUUUGCAUAAAACCCUAGUUCCUUUUUUUUUUGCUGUCAACCCCAAAUUUUUUUUUACUAAUUUAUAUGCAACAUAAUCUUUUCUUCUACAUUGCAUCCUAGAUCUUGUAUUUUAAAUUUUUUUUUUUAACCCUAGCUUUCACCCCAAAUAAUUUUUUUACUAAUUUCUUGUCAUUUAUGCACCUUAAUCUUUGUCAUCUACCUUAUUUCUCUUAGGUCUAAGCACCUUGUCACUGAUCUUCCAUCUUGCUCAUUUUUUAUUUUGCAUAAAACCCUAGUUUUAAAAAAAUAAAAAAAAAAACAAAAAUGCCUAGAACUAAAAAUGCAUCUAGAAGAGGAUCUCCCUCACAUAGAUAUGAUCAAAACGAAGAUUUUGAUGCUUUUAAUUUUGUAUCUCGAGAGGCUCAAGAUAAAUAUCUUUUAGGUCGUCCCGUUCAACCUUGCCGUAAUAUUCAUCAUCUCAAUUUUGAUUGCUAUGAACUUUUGGAUAAACUCACACAAGUUGGAUGGGAUUUCUUUGUUCAAAAUUCGCGACCAUUUUAUCCGGAUCUCAUUAGGACUUUUUAUGCAAAUGCCACUUUUAAUUCCGAAUAUACUACUAUUACCUCCCACUUCCGGGGACGUGUUUUUGCCAUCACUCCUAUCCUUCUUCACACUGUUUUGAACAUUCCUAAUGACGGGGUUUGCUAUUACCAAACUAACACUUGGAACUUUCCUGCAUUUUCUGAGGCGCAACUCAGCAAUCAUUUUCUUUGUGAAGAAUCUAUUUGCGGGGAUCCGGGUAAAUUUGGGGUAUAUCAUCAUUCGCCACAUGGCCGUCGCCAUUUCUCAUCCCUCGCGCUCACUUCCCUAUGGCUCUUUGCUCACCGCUGUUCUCGAGUUCAUGUCAUUUGAUCUUUCUGACGUAAGGCCGAUGAAGUACCCUACUGCCAUUUCUACUGCCACUUUCUCUACUCUCGGCUUCAAGAAAAAUCGCCAUGGCAUUUGGGUAAGGAAACAUGUGAUUGAUUCGCCUAGCGAGCAUGCUGAUGACAUUGACGACGCCGAGGAUGAUCCUAUGCCUUAUGAGCCGCCGCCACGAGCAUCUCCUCCACCAUUUGAGCCGCCGCCACGAGCAUCUCUUCCACCAUUUGAGCCACCCCCUACUGUGCCUCCGCCCUAUGUUCCUCCACCUAUGGAUUUCCAAACCCAGGUUUUUGAUCGACUUGAUAGGAUGGAAGAUCAUAUGCAUGCUCUCCAGACAGAUGUUUCCGGCAUUAAGGCAUAUAUGGACUCCCUCUUUGGACCUUCGAGUGCCUUUUAUGCCGCGUAUGGACCCCACACUGAUCGACCAUCCUCCUCCACUAUGCCCCCACCAGUUUCGCCUACGGAUCAUGAGGACGAUGAAGAGGAUGACGAUGAUGAUGAUGAUUAGCUUCUGUUUCUACCAGUUUUAUGCCUUUUUUUUUUGUGAUGACAAAGGGGGAGAACUUGCUAUGUGAUAUACUAUAUUAUGUUAUGGUUUGUUAUGGUUUAUUAUGCUCCUUUUAUGCUUGAGGUUUAUUAUGCUCUGGUUUAUUAUGCUCUGACAUUUGCCUACAUGAUUGCUUACUUCUUUUAUUGUGAUAUAUACUAUGCAUAUGAUUGUGUUUUAUGCAUGUUAAAUAUAUGCAUAUAUUUAGGGAGAGUAUUCUACUCUUUUACUCUCUACUCAUUUGGAUAUUAUAUCACAUUAUUUGUCAUCAUCAAAAAGGGGGAGAUUGUUGGCCUAAUGGCCCUAAUCGUCUAUUAGUUUUUGAUGAUAACAAAUAAUCACGAUUAUUGGACUAAUCUUUUUAUCUUGAGUCUUGUGUUUUUAGAUCUCUCUAUCUUCAAAAAGGAUUCAAGAUGGGCAAUAUUCUGGCACCAAGCUUCACCUCUUGAAGCUGUGUUUGCUUCUUUUGUCAAAUAGACAAACUCACUCUCUCCAUUCUUAAUUGAUUAAUAUUAUGCUUAUGAUCAGAGUAAGAAACUUUGAGUUAAGUUUAAACUAUUCAUCUUAUCACCUUAUAGAUCAUUUAAACAAAAUUCUAAAUUUAUGAUUAGGUGAAAAGGACUUUUAAAUAUUCAAAAAUUGCUCAAAUUCUGUGUUCUGUAAAGUUGAAAUUUCUGGACCCUGUUCUGGGCGCCCGAAAGUGGAUCCGAAUCUUUUGAGACCUUUUGGAUCCUGCCUGUUUGCUGUUCGGGUGAUCCAGAAACACUAAGACUGUUUGACUUGACAGGUUGCGACAACAGGCGGCGCGAAAUCUGGGCGCCCAGAUUUUGUGGAAGCAGCGGCGCACGCAAUCUGGGUUGUCUGGCAAGAAAGUCAGCACGACUUUUUGAGCGCCCACAACUUUUGAAAGUUGUCCCUCGAGAUCUGGGCGCCCACAACUUUCUGACGGCCCAAAUCCAGAGGAAGCGGCGCGUGUCAGAAAAGCGGUUCCUCGUGUUCUGUGCGCCACAACUUUUGACGGCCCAGAACUUACGAAGUCAAGAAAAGCUGCGCGUGUCAGAAAUACUGUUCCUCGAGAUCUGGGCGCCCACAAAUUUUUGACGGCCCAAACAUACAAAGUCAAGAAAAGCGGCGCACGUGGUUCGACAAGCAGCUGGCGUGCACAAACUUCUGGGCGCCCGAAAACAGUUUGUGGGCGCCCGAAAGUACAACUGCAGAUCUGUCCGAGGCUAUAAAUAGAUGGUAUUGAGGCCUCACUCUGCAGCAACUUGAUAACUCAUUCUGAGCAUAAAAACUUCAGUGAUCUUAAUACUCUUAGCUCUCAAUUCUCUCUCUAAACUUGAGUGAAACUUGUAGUGAGAUUUAAUCUUGUAAAAAGAGAGAAAAGCAAAAUCUUGAAGCUUGAAAGAAGGAGUUGAUGUGAAGGCUUGGUGCUUGCCCGCAAAAGCAUCAUCUAGUGGAGAUCCAACAUUCUCGAGUGUUGAGAAGUUGGCGGGGACGUAGGCAAAGUGCCGAACCUCGAAACAAAUUGAUCGUGUGCUUUUCGAGUUUGCAUUUCUUUUAAUUGCAUCGGUUUUUUUAUUUUGCUUGAUUAUUUGGAUUUUUAUUUUAGAAACCUAAUUCACCCCCCCUCUUAGGUUGCCAUUUUGAUCCUCACAUCAGUGAUGAACUGAUAUAGGGAUUUGACUGUAAAUAUUUGAUUGAAGGUCCACCGCCAUUUGAUCGAGUCCGGUCUGCUGCAUGGGCAGUGAUGGAGAAGCAGAUCUUUAAGCAUCGAUAGCUGCCUGCAUCUUUCAGCGAAUUGAGACGCCGCAAAACCAUAGCAGAUGAAGCGCCAUCUCCAUUCGUCAGAUUCCAGCACUCGGAUAUGCGAGCCUCUGUGUUCGUAAUAUUCUCGAAGAUGUUUGGGAAAAGAGUGCGGAAGGGGGUUUCUCCAAUCCAGAUGUUGGAACAUAACCUAAUAUUUCUUCCAUCACCUAGCUCAUAGAUUACCCCACAAGUAAAUAGUUCGCGGCACCGAAGCACGCUUUUCGACCACUGUGAAUAAGGGACGAAGACUCUGCCCUUAUGUAGUGGCCUUCUUCUAACGUAGUAGAGGGGUCUUAUCAGUUUGCACCAAAGCAAAUUUGGUUCAUUGAAGAAGCGCCACCACCAUUUGGUUAAUAAAGCCAGGUUCAUGGAUUCCAUAUCUAAGAUCCCUAGUCCACCUUCUCUCUUACUUUUGCAGAUUGAUUUUCAGUUAAUGAGACAUGCGCUACCAGCAAUAAUGGACCGCCCUUUCCAGAGGAAGGCUCUUCUGAGAGCUUCUAUCCGAUGAAGUACCCACUGUGGCGCUUUGAAGAUGGAUAGGUAGAAAAGCGACAGGUUGGUGAGCACUGAGUUCACAAGAGUAAGUCUUCCCCCCAAAGAGAGGAGUUUUGCUUUCCAGCCUUCGAUUCACCCCAAAGAGAGGAGUUAUAGAAUUUAUAAGAAGUAGGGUACGUAAACUUCAAAUACCAUCUCUGUGUUUCACACUUUCUCACUUUAGUAUCCUGUGGUUUAAAGUGUAUCAAUUUAGUACCCUGUGGUUUUAUUUUUCUCCUUUUGUCAGCUCAUCCGUUAAUAUUUCAUUAAAUUAUAUACAAAAAAACUUUAGAUACUCCACCUAUUAGGUUUAUCAAAUAUUCACUUUAGUACCUUUUAGAUUUAACUUUGUCACUGAUUUAACGAAAAAAAAAUUAGCGAAGGGGAUAAUAAAAAGAGAAAAAUAAAAAUAUGGAAUACUAAAUUGAUACACUCUAAACCAUAGGUUACUAAAAUAAAAAAAUGCGAAACCACAUGGGUGGCAUUUGAAGUUUUCCUAAAAAGUAUUACUUUUUUACUAUGUUGAACGAUAGAUAUAUCUUUACCAUAAGACAAAAUAUAAUCACAAAAUAAUUAGGUACAUCCUUUUGAUCUACAGAUCGGCAAAAUAAAAAUGCACUUACUCACUGGAGGGAAAUUAAAGUUUAUCUUUUCUUUUUUUUCUUUUUUUUUUUGUGUGUGUGUAAGUAGGUCAACACGAUAUGGUAAAAACUUUCGAAUCGAUUAUCAUCAUCAUUAGACUAACACCGUGAUGGAAUUGAAGAAAUCCCGUACUAUCGACCGGUACGUAUGAUGAAAGAGCUCCUGCACAUAGGCGCGUACUGCCCGGCUGCGGGGGAAUUCUGAGGGGUCAAGUAGUUUCGCGAGAAACGGCUACUCCGACAGCAUCAGCGGGCCGGUCGCUUACGUGCCAAACGGGGAGGCGGAGGUGUCGGUGUCCUAGGAGUGGUUCUAAUUUCCUCGCUUGCGAAGAAGACGUUUUCUAGAGAGGUCAAAGUAGCCGUUACUAUGCGUCCACUACAGUUACACGGCCAGGGUUCGCUGAAGAGAGGACUAGACUCUCCUUACUGGAUACAUUUGUUUGGAAAACCAGACACAACAUCUCCUUAAUCCAACACUCUAGUAACGAAAGAAGAAAAAAGUUUAUAUCAAAUUUCGCGUAAAAUCACCAGUUUGUAUUAUUUGGAUUAAAAAGAUACUACACUCCAUUGACUAUGUAGUAAUCACGAUGACGAUGAACCUACGCUUCAUAUGGCCCCAUUGACGUAGACAUACCACAAAGUAGGUACUAUACAACGUCGUAUUAAAUUGACACUUACAUCACUUAUACACAUAGUACGUAUAAAAAAAAAGGGGUAUUAGAAUUUCUCAACUACAUGAUUAAACACUUUUACUUUACUUUGUUUUUAAUAAACCAGCUCAAACUUUUACGGUUAACCUUGAUCGUCGAACUCACAAUUAAUGAAACUUCCAAAAAAAAAAAAAAAAAAAAAAAAAAAAACCCUAGGAAAAUAAAAACUCGUUUACAAUGUAUAUAUAUAAGGUUUUCUUCACAUACUAUAUGCCAAGUAGGUAGAACACUCCCACAUUCUUCAUAAAUGAUAAAAAACCCGAUUUAACGUGAAAGUCCAGAGUUUUGAUCUUUUUCACACUAUGAAGCCAGGAGUUUGAGAUUCAACAUUAAAAAGCAAACUUAAAAUAUUUAACAACGUUAGAUUCAAAGAUUUCCGAUUAAAUCAAUUGAUUCAUGACUAUAUAACGACUACACCAUUAUUAUGCUAUAAAAUUAAUAACACGGCAGUAGUUAAUGUUACGUCGAUAUGGUGACGGUGUAGUCGUUAUAUACUAGUAGCGAUGUAGAGACUGCGUAAGCGAUGUGUACUGGUCAAUCAGUUGAUUUAAUUCAACACACUAACUCAACGUUAUUAAAUCUUUCAACCUAGGUUUUUAAUAGUAUUUAAUUUUAAACUUCUAGUUUAACAUGUGGGAACUAUAAAGCUCCUGGUGUCCACAUAACAUUGGUAAACAAAAGAAAAAAAGAAAAAAAAACCUGAACCGUCGAACCUGUAAUUCGAUUAGUGUUUAAGAUACGUACGAGUAUAAUAAUAGAAGUAAUGCAUGGUACAUAAGAGACCCUUUCAAGUAGAAGAUCGUUCCCUGUUUUAGGAGGGGAAAAAAAAAAAAACCAAAAAUCAUUGAAUGAUCACAAAAAAAAAAAAAAAACUCUCUAUCCAUCGUGCGAUUGACAAAGCAAAUAAAGUAAAUCUUUAUUUGAAUCGAUCUUUUACACUUAGUUGAUCCUAAGCUUGAACCCAGAGUCUAUAGUUAGUGGUUUAAAAAACGGUGAACGAGAUCCCUGCCAGCCAUCAUUGAAUGAUCACAACUACACCAGGAUCCCUUAUCUACGCAUCUAUUUCGUUAUUUGUAUCAACAUUAGAAUAGGUAAUCGUGAACACUGACACUCUGACACUCUGGCACUCUAUUGGAAUAAUGCAUGAUGAGUGGGUGGUACAAAACAGGUAAAGGGGUGAAGAUAAUGUGGGAGAGAUACCCCUGAUACAAAAACCGAACAAGUUGUUCGUACGUCUCCUGAAUAUGGAAAGGUCGUUUUUAUUAUUAUUGUUUAUCAUUGAUUAUUAUUUUAACCGAACCAAAAACCCUACAUUGUUACCGAGAGGAAAAGUGAGAAGUCNNNGGGGGGGGGGGGGGGGGGAAGGUUAUUUGAGUUCAUCAAGAAAUUGAUCACUUGGCCGUCAACAACAACAAAGGUUAUGGUACAACUAUUUUGGCUCAGCUAAUAGCAAGUCAACGAAAACCAUCAGCCAAGUGGGGCACCGCUAGACUAAAUUAUAUAGGAAAAUGAUUAAUCUAUUAAUGUUGAUACAUAUAUCCUACAGCUAAACAAACAGCAUCCUACAGUUUACUCCUCGAACCACGGUGGUGGAAUAGGACCUAGUCAUAAACAUCUUUUUCUCUUCAAUUGUCUUGUAAUUAGCAUGAACUAAGUGCAAAACAAGAUUGAAUAACUAGCUAAAGGAAUAGGUAUCAAUCCAGUCACGCAACAAGCCUGGACACAUUGAAAUCCGGAAAUAAUUUGGACAAAUGAUUUACCAAAAAAAAAAAAAAUCCCACAUUCAAAUAAGACAGUUAGUUCGAAUCAGUAACCUCUUGACAGUUAUAUCUUCUACUUCAUUUUCGACAAACUGUCUCUAACUUCAUAUUUAUUACCAAGUUGUCAAAUAAAAUUUUCUCAAUGAUUACUGGUAACAACUAUCUCAGAUCUUAAAAGUAAGCUUACCAAGAGAUCCACCCAUGUACUGCUACCAACAAGAAUUGAGAACCCAAGAAGCACCUGCAAAUUUAAAGGAAGAGAAGAGAAAUAAAAAACAAACUAAUUUUUGGCCUUCAGACAAUGAAAAGAUUGCACAGCAAUAAUGAUAAGAUUUAACAGUAAGGUGCAAUCAGCCGCUCAAUGGUGACAGAUAGUCACUUUGAAUAAUAGGCCACUGAAGAAUCAACAAGAAAACUCACCCAUGGUAGAUAAGCUGCAGUGAAGGUAAAAAGGCCCAAGAAACUCAUGUGGAUGAAAGGGUUAUGUUUGCUCCACACAUAGACCUGCAACGUAAAAAUAAAAUAAAAUAAAAUGAAAAAUCCAACAAGGCAUUUCCAACCUAAAAUCAGAAAUAGAACUCUAACAACAAUAUGACAGUAGAUGGCAUUGCCGGAGCAUGCGUCAAGGGUUAAAUAGGGCGAAUGGUAGAUGCUGUACUGGGUGACUAACCAUCAUGAAAGUCAAUGAGUUGCUAAGGAAAAAAAUUUUGGCAAAAGUCUCGGAAAUAUAUGGUAUCAUCCCUCCAAUAAGAACAAUCCCAGUGAGAACAGUGGCACCGAAUAAGAGCAUGUAGAAAAAAUCCGCAGUCCGUCCCCUGAAUGAGUUUUCCUCAAGUAGUUUGCAGUAUCGUGCAAGGAAAAACAUGUGGAACAGAAAGUCCAAAUCUGGUAAGGAAAAUUAGUAUCAAUAAGAGUAACUUGUCAGCAAUAUAGUUUGAUAUUAAAAAUUGAUAAAAAACGAAUUUUCAAAAGUAAGAAAUAAAAAAGAAUAACAGAAUAUGUUUUGUGAAAACUUAUAUUAUGCAUCAAAGAUGAGAAGAUAAAGCAUUCUAUGUGUAACUUUAUUCCGAAUCAAAAUUUGAAGUGACGAAAAAGUCAUCAAAUAAUUUAUAUCAAAUAAAUUGAAAUGUAGAAUACUAACAUCAAAAUUUUGAAAGAUUAAAUAGUCGAAUCAAAAUGGUAUAUAGUUUAGAUACGUAAAUUCUUCACUUUUAUACCCCAACUUAAAUCAAAGAAAUUAGAGGUUGUGUAGGUAUUGUUUAAAAAUUAAAACAAAUGNAUAAGGCAGCGGCGGAGGCGGCGCAUAGGCGGCGGAGGCGUACGGGGAGAGAGAGAGAGAGAGAGAGAGAGAGGAGGCGAAUAGUAGAGGUCUACAGGGUAAAAAAAAAAUAGCGCUCGAUGGGACCCACGAUCCGAAAAUUCGGUUUGGCGAAGCGGCGGUUGAGCGGCGUAAGGUACGACCCCUACAGGGAGGUCGGUGGAGAGAGAGAGGGGGAAGGGAUUGGAGGGGGGAGUGGAGGCGCCAGAGAGAGGGGACCCACUGGUCAGAGAGAAAGGGGAAAAAAAAUAUUGGGAGCGGGGGAGUAGCACAGUACAGGGGGGACCCAUGGGUCAGAUGGUGAAAGAGGGGGAAAAAUUUUUUGGGGGGCCCACAUCACUGAAUGAAGGAGAAGCGGAGAAAUGGUUAAGGGUUCGCCCUUUAAUGUUACUAGUGUAGGUCCCACGCGUUGCCGCGGGCCAUUUGUGUAGGUGAAGAAUGAAGAAAUCACAAAUGUGUGAGAAAGAAAUUGUAAGAAAAAAAUUAUAGUAAAGUUAAAACUAUGUUAAGCAGAUAAAGCUCACUGUCAAUAAUUGAAAAUCAAGAUAAAGCUAAAAACAUCUAUAUAUUUGGAGCUCACUAUCAAUAGCAUGAUUACGGCUGAAAACAAAUUAAUAAUGUUCGAAUACAUAAAGCAUAUAUAUGAAAGUUCGAAUACAUAAAGCAUAUUAAAUGGUAAGAAUGAACAUUUAUAUAAGUUCCGAUACAUAUCAAAUGGCAAGAAUGAAAAUAGUAAAGAAAGGCUCAGAUCAUAAUAUAUUUUUUUGUCAUGAGGCAUUUUUUCCUUUUAAUGCAAAUUAAUUGGCUGAAGUGUUGAUGGCUGCAGCGGUUGCCUCUGGCCGUCCAAGCUGCCUUGCUGUCAACACAUUUGUAUGGCCAUGGAUGCAUGCCUCAGUUAAUUGGCACGCAUGGCCUUUUAAUUGCAUAUUGUUUCAAUUACAGGUAAUAUGCAUACAUAUUAGAGGGCAUAUUGCUUAAGUGACCUCUAAUGUGCAGAUAAUUGCAGGUAAAUUACCUACAUGCAAUUAGAAUUAAUUCAACCAAUAGUUGAUCUGCAUUGAGAUUUUUCUGCAGUUCAAUUAGAGUGAAAAUUAGAGGUAAAACCUUACCUCUGUGCAAUUUACCUCUACAUGCAAUUUACUUGCAUUGAGAUUUUCACUUGCAUAACAUCCAGUAAAAGCUUGUGUAGCGGCAAAAGACAGAGAGUUACAUGAAGACAAAUGAGAAAACAAAAUUUUGUUAUUAUACAGUAUAUGUUUUGGAAGAAGUGGGAAACAAUUAAACAAAAAGAGAGCUGAUCAAGGAACCAACCAUGAGAAUUCUUAUCUCAUCAAGAAGUUCAUGGCCUCUCUCCUUUGCUUGAUGUGUAGCAGUUUCAACAGAGAUCGCUAUAUCACCUAAUAAUAGCUGCAGAACAAAGUUACAAAAGAAGCGAACAAAAAAGUGGACAUAUUAUGCAAAUAAAAUAUCAAAAUAUUAUGCUAUCUCAAAACAUCAAAGAUAUGCCUUACAGUCGGCAUGUUAAGUUCAGGGACGUGUUGUGACAUAGAAAGGACAUCAGUAGCUCGGUCCUCAUCCCUCCAUUCUUUGUUUAGCGUUCAGAUAAAUUUGUCAUUACAAAGAAGCAACGACAACUCAACUUUCUCAUAUUUAUCAACAUCAUCUAUACAUUUGUCUCUAAAUUUAUAUUCGGAGUCUUUUAUGUCAUCAAAUGCAACUUUUAUUGCCCUGGCAAAAUCUAUUUGCAGCGUCUCUGCAAUACUCUACAUAAAUUUUACCAAAACUACAUAUAAAAUUGAUGUUCAUCAAGACAAUAAUCUAGUAAUUGAAGCAUAAGUUUGGGUAAAGAGCACCAAACAAACUUCUUCAUGAAAUGCCAAUAUGUUGCAUGAUAUGCUUAUCAUAUAUAUAAGGAAAAAAAAACAACUUGUAUAUAUAGGGGGAUAAAAAAAAAAAAAAAAAGACACGAAGUGAUCUGAAAAUUGAUAGUUUUCAAAUAAGAAUAAUUUGAGACUACUUGAUCGCUAGGUAAAUGAUGUUAUAAAAUCACGAAAUUUGAUUUUUAGUAAGUUAAAGUAAGUUUGAUUAGGUGGGUGAAUCUCCAAAACCUACGAAUCAUGCACAGUACAAUGAUUCACUCGCAAAUAUGUUACGCCGUUUAGAUUUUUCAUAAUCCUACGAUAAGUAAAACUCUGCACAAAUGUUGUACCUUCCUUCCUUGUGUAAUCCAGAGUUUCGGAUAUUCCCCGACAACUGAUCUAACAUGCUCAAUCAGGACAUGCCAUUUCUAGUACAGAGCGAGCACAAAUUAGUAAAGUUUCUCGCGGAAUUUCUUUUUGUGGCAACAAAGAAUGCUAAUUUGCGUCGUUAGAUCUUUACCUUUUCCUCGGCUCAAUAGAAGUGAACUGAUAUGCAGAACUUAUUGUUCUCCACAUAGGCACCUGGGAUUGAUUCCAUUUUCUCUGACAGUGCUUCAUAAACCUUAAAAAAAGAGAGCAAAAAACAUUAUAGCACAUUAUGGUAGAUGACACAAUGCAUGGCUUUGCUAAUAUUUCUCUAAAGCAGUUGUGGGCUGCGAUAAUAAAUUGACAUGCGAUAUAUAGCAGCUGCAUCAGUAAAAUUUGGUGACUAAAGUGAAACUCUGCCACAUGUUUAGGGAGAAUUGAACCAAGUGACGGGGUCCUUGUGUCAAGGCCUGUUACCGAGCACCGAUGUCGAGGACGAUGCACGUGGGCCCCACCACGGCGACGACGGUGGUUGAGCCCACGGUGUCGCACUUGCGCGCCUGAAGCUCGAAUCGGCACCGAAGGUUCCGGGAACCGCUUCCCUGGCCCGGCCCCUGCACCUCCGCGUCCAUCCUCGAGAAGCUCCGCUCCAUCACCUCCCUCCAACCCCCCUGCGUCGGCGACGAAGCCCCCGCUCUCAGCCGUCGAUCUCCUCCCCCACCACUUCGUGCAUCCGAUCCUUACACGACAUCGCCACCUAAGCAACGAAGACAUUCAUGAUUAGUUCGAAGGAUCGAGAAAGAAGAGUAGGAGGAGGAGGAGGAGGAGGAGUACUCACAUGAGAGCAUCCGUGGCCGUCGAAUACGCCGAAGAAAUCGAACCUCCCUCCCCGCACGAAAUCGGGGCGAAUGAACACGGCGUCCUCCAUCUCCCUCCUGCGUCCGCACACAGAGAUCAUCCUGAACCUCGAUCCCUCAUGAGCGCGCUCCUCCUCGAUCGAUCCCGCCGCGCGGGGAGGAUCCCCGCUCAAAUUCCCGCUCGAUCCGCUCCCGACCGUCCCGUCGCUCGCCCAGCGCUCCGGAUUCGACGCGGCUCCCUCCGCCCUCGGCCGCUUCCUCCUUGACUCCUCCGCGAUCUCCAUCAGCGUCGUAUUGUCGACCCCAAACUCCUCGGCGAUCUCCUCCGCGAUACUCUCGUGGGGCACCGAGUACCCGAGAUGCAGCUGCGGAUCCCGGCGGGGAGAUCGAAGAGACAGAGCGCGGAUUCCUGUGGGGAGAUCGGAGAGAGAUCGAAGAGAGAGAGGCGGGAUCGGAGAGAGAGAGAGAGAGGCGGGAUAGGAGAGAAAGAGGCGGUGGCCAAGAGAUCCUCGCCAGAUCUCACACCGGCGAGGAUCGUGCCGCGAAUCCCGCCCGGCAGGGAGAUCGGACGGCGGAUCGCGAAGAGAGAUAGAGAGAGGGGACAGCGCGGAGGGGAAAAAAAAACCCCGCAGAUCGCGCCGCGGAUCCCGGCGGAUCCGCGUGCCGCGUGGGGAGAUCGGAGAGAGAGAGGUGGGGAGCCACGUCACCCAUGCCCGGCCCGACUGGUCGCGCCAAGCACGCGCACCCGCUCGCGCCCGGCUCGCCCCGCCCGCCCGCCGACCACGCCGGCGCCCCCGCUCCUCGCUGGUGGACCCCACCGACCCUCGAAACGCCUGGAAGCUAGAUGCGAGAGAUCGGGGGAGAUCCUCGGCAGAUCUCCCCGGGGGAAUCAUGCCGAAUCCCGGCGAUCUCGCGAGGAGAUCGACGGCGGAGAGAGAGAGAGAAGAUCGGGAUUGGGGAGGGUGGACGUGGAGAGAGAGAAAGAAGCGGCGGGGCAACGCCAGCGGAAAAAAAAAAAAAGCGAAAACCCGCGACACCCCCACUGGUGGCCCCACCGAACCCGAAAAAUGCGGGGAGCGUGCCGUACAACUCGCCUUCAUUUGUUAUUGAUUGUUGAUAGAUGGACAAAAAAAUUUGGUCUAUUUGCAUUGAACAUUGGCUUAUGUAUUGGUCCUCAUAUGUUUGUUGAUUUAUUAGCAAUAUUAUUAAUAAGAUUUUGAUGAAAGUUUAUGACACGUUCAACCCUGCCAUGCAGGUUUGGCUAACAUGUACAACAGUAAUAUAUUGAUAGGGCGAAGUUUCAUCCUGAUUUUACAGGGAUACUUGUGUAGGAUUAAUAAGAUUAGCUAUAAUCCCUCUUCAAAAGUCUCAAAGUAAAAGAAUGUGUCAUCAUUGAUUCUCAACAAGAAGAAGCAGCUUUCAAGCGCAAACCUGUUUUCCAUCUUGAAAGGUCCGCUGGAACAUGGAAGCGACAAAUGAUUGCCCCCUCUUCAAAGGACGCCCUAUCAAUUACUCUAAUAUAAGCACGAAAAGUAGAACACUUCUGACAAGGACACGGCUCCUUAUGUGAGAAGAACACUCCUGAUCUUUUGUCCUCGUUUGAAUACUUUUACUGCGAUAGUACCUGUAAACCAAAUAUGUAUUGCAAGCUGCGUCCGGUCCUGUGCUCGUGUAAUAAUAAAAAAAAAUAGUUGGAAAGAUAUGGAACGACAUCCAGUCCCUUUUCGAAAAAUUAAUGUGUCAUCAUAAGUAAAAAAAAUGUCUCUCGUCUCAUUAGUAAUAUCGUAUUCCAUUUCUUGUAUAUAUUCGUUUCCAUCUUAUGCGUCACAAAAACCCUUCUAAAUCAAGAUGUGUGGUCCACCCUUUAUAUUGGGACAGCUUAUCGUAAAAAAGAAAAACAAUAUUCCAAAUUUGUAAGGAGGAAAUUUAUGAUACUUUAUAAGUUCUCAACUACAGCGAGACGCUUCAAGCCACGACCCUCGACCAAUGCAGCUGCCAAAUUCGAGUCGGUCUAGAAAUACCGAUAAAUAAGCCGUCUGCAAUCAGGAAGAGUCGUAUAGGUAUAUACCAGAUGAAUGUAAGACAGCAUAAUGCGAGAAAACAGAAUAUUGGCAUAUAGCCAGUAAUAUGAACUCAAACAUGGAAUCAAUAAUUGUCAUAAUCAUUAAUUACAAUAUAUAAGAGUAAAAAAGAGUUUUCAGGAAUUCACUUGGAUCAGACAACAAAGAGAAAAAAGACAGCCAUUAAAGAGGCACGCACGGAUGUUUCUAUAUGCAUCUUACAAAAUUCAGGUAUAAAUUGACUAAAGAUUUUAUGAUAUUUUGCAUAUCUUUAUCCUAGCAUCCGCCUACAAAAUUUAUUUUUUAAACAUAGAUUCGUCAUCGAUAAUCUUAUGCUGCAUUAAUAAGUAGCAUUAAAUAAAUAAUGGCAUAAGACUAUACCACCCCUAUUAUUAGCUUGUCUCGAACAAUACAUCUGCUUUGGUUUAUUCAAUUCAGGAAAUAGAUAAAUUGCAUAGAUAAUAGUUUAAUAUAUUGUAAUUAUUUUGUAAAUAGGAAAAGAAAAAUCUAUAAUAUUUAUAUUUUAUAUAAUAAAAUCCUCUAUAACAAUCUGAAAAUUAUACACACCGAUACUCCUUAUAUCAAAAGAUUCAUAAUUUCUAUAUAGAAAUAACUAAAUAUAAUACUGAUACUCUACAUACACACACCAACUUAUCUCCCACAGAACUAGGGUAUCCACUCCAGCAAAACUCGACUUUAAGGAAAAUGAUUGAAGAAAAUCACCUUCGGAGGAAAGAGACAGUAUAUGAAAAUUUCAGAUUUUUAAGCAGGGCCCACAUAAUUUUGCAAGGAUUAAAACACAAUGAAUAAGCCCUAUUCAUUUAAAGCUCAACCGGAAAUUAUGUUCUAUGUUUAAUUGAAUUGAACAAAAAAAGAAGGAAGAAAGAACACAUCCGUAGCUGUUACCAGGUUGAUGAGGAUAACCCAAAUUAGGUGAAUUCCUUAAGGUGCCCACGUCACUAAAAUAUCGUUACACCAUCCUCCAGAUGUUAGAUAUUAUGCGAUGCAAAAAGCGUUCAAAUGACAAUCAUAAACUUUCAAUACACUUUAAACUUGUUCAUGACUUAGUCUUUGUAAAUGAUGUAGAGAAGGGGCAUAAACCAGAAAUACCAGCGAGAGAACUCACGGCAUCGCGUUAUCUCGAGACAGAAAAUUACAUAAAGAAAACGGUCACUAUAAUAUAAAAUAUAAUUUUUAUAUAUUUUUUAAUAAUUAAUAUAUAUUAAUAAUUUAAUUUAAUAUGUAUAUAUUAAAUACUCAAAUUUAGAUUUACAAAAUUAUCUUAAAAUACCUAUUAGUAUUUUUAUUAUUAAGUAUUAAUAAGAGAUAAAGGGUAAAAAUGGUAUUUUGAAAAUUUAACUCCGUUUCAAAUGGGACCUAACGGAUCUAAACUAAUAGAGGGCAUUUAUGAUAAUUUUUACAUAUUUGGAGGGUAUUGGUGAUAUUAUCAAUUUUAGAAGGGUAUUGAUGAAAUUAAUAGUUUCUAGAAGGGCAUCUAUGAAAUUAUUCCUUUUUUUUUUUUGACUCAAUUACAUAACUUUUUCUUGCAUUUUAAACCUUGCCUCAUUUAUUUCAUACAUUAAAAAUUGCAACAUUAGCUUCUUGCACUUUAUCANNNNNNNNNNNNNNNNNNNNNNNNNNNNNNNNNNNNNNNNNNNNNNNNNNNNNNNNNNNNNNNNNNNNNNNNNNNNNNNNNNNNNNNNNNNNNNNNNNNNCCUUCUUUACUGCUUUUUCUUUCUAAAAUAAGAAAAGCAUGCCAUUCACUUUGGGGAUACACUGUUUAGUGUUAUUGCAUAACUUCUUUCUAAUUAUGCCACAUUUUCCACAACUCUGAUUUUUAAAAUAGUAUUAAUGAUAAAAAAAGACUUUUAAAAUCGGCCCCGAUGCGUUACAAAUUUGCGCCAAAAUGAUUUUAACUUGAUCCAACAUUCCAAAACAUGCUGUCAAGGAACUCAAGCUGCAAGUCUGCCAAUUUGCCAAAGUCCAGUAUAUUACACUUUUAAAUUUUGUGGUCCGAUUGGUACGAUCGUUCCUACCAGUUCCAAGCCCAUCCUUAGAUCUAAUUAUCUGAAAAUCUUUUUGUUCAGUAAGAGGCAUGCCUUGUACUAUCUGAAAUGUGGGAGGAAUAUCCUGCCCAUUUAAGAAUGAAGAUGUCCUCUUAUUGGACACCAUGUGAACACUAUCAAGAGAAAAAUUACAUUCAAAGAUAUGCGCAUUUAUGAUCCAUUAAAUUAAAGAUAUGUAUAUCCAUAUCUUUUAAUAAAUAUUUGAAGUUAAUAAAUCUAAAUUAAAGUUGUUCUGUCGAUUAUGCAGAUCUUGCCUAUUUAAAGAGAGGCAGAAAAAAGGGUUGUUGCCAUAGGUGAUUUUGUCUCUCCUUAUGGCUUUCAAAUGGUCUUAUGCAUCAUUUUGUUUGCUAUGGAUUUCAAUUCUCGUAGUUUGUCAGAAACUUGAUGGAACAGAGUACUAUCCCAAUGGAAGAGAAUGGGAGCGAUUAAGUCGUCUCAUGGACCCUCCAAACCGUAACAAUCGAGUACUUUAAUGCUUCUUUUGGUGACUUAUAAUGUUUAUAAUAAUUGUAGGAUAGGUCAUUCUUGUUUGAAUUGCUAGACAACUUGAAAUAUUUAGGCACACAAUACUAGAUCGACUUAAUGGUUAGCAUGUGUUAAUCAACGUUCAACACUCCAAAAAUAAAUAUACUCAUUUGAUCAUUAGUAGAAAUUUACAUGAUUAUACCUAACCCUAUUGGCCAAUUCAACUAUUCAAUACUAAAAUAUUUAUUUUGAUUGAAGUGUAAUUGAGAGCUAUUAUUAUAUAAAACAAGGACCAAGAAUAGGCUAUGAUUAAUAGCUUGUACCACAGAGUCAUUUUGGGUGUUCGAGAAUUUGUUUUGACAACUAACAUCAUUGAAUAUUUUUGGAAUAUUUGAUCUUCUUGAGAAUCAAAUUUCAUAAUCUUUUAAUUUCACUUUCGAUUUUAGAAGUUACAAUUUUAAUUACGUAUAUAAGGUGUUUUUUGCAUUUAAUAAAGCAAAAUGAUUUAAAUGGAUUGAAUUUUCCAUAGAAAUUCUUUUAAUUCUCUAGAUCAAGAUCUAUUAUCCUAAUCAUUAAUUUAAUGAUCUUUGCUCUUGUUAUUUGAAAGUUGUUCAAUUUUGUGUAUUUGUUACGCAGCCACUUGAUAAAAAUGAAAAUAACUUUCACAAAUCACAAAAUUAAAUUCUAAGAAAGGUCAAAUACCGAAGAUUAUAUUCAACGGUCUUAACUAUGGAUUUAGAUGUUUGAUCAUUGAAAACAAGUCUAUAGCACAAGGGAUUUGGCAAUAUUAAUAGCACCGUAGCUCUACUCCUCAAUAAUCAAAUUAUUUACACAUGAAUUGCAAUUAUUAAUUAUUGAACCUCUCUUGAUUGGGAGGCUCAUACUUUUUUUAUGGUAAUGGUGAAUAUACUAGGUUUUUAAUGGAUUUGGAUCAUUCAAGAAAUUUCUAAUAAAAUUAUAUUCAUAGUUUGAAGGCUAUAACAAAGAAGAUUCAGGUGAAAGACGCAAUUCAAGCAGGACUAUUCGUACACAAUCAUCAACUUUCGAUGAUGAACCACCUGACCAUGAGCGUCAUGUAAUUAUCUUAACUUUUUUCAUAUUUAUAACUGUUAUAUUUGGUUUAGAUUUGUAGUUGCCUAAAUUAGAGUUAAAUUCUAAUAUAAUUGGGAUUAGAUAUAAUUUAGAUUUAAUUUGGCAUAUAUGGACUAUGAGUCGGAAUCUAAUUUCAAACUGAAUUAGAUUAGACUUGUAUUUAGAAAUCCAAUUAGAUUAGAGUUCUAAUCAGACUCUAGUUUGAAGCAACAUCCUAUAUAUAUAUGCGGCCAAGUUAAUGGGUGACGAAAUUUAGCCAUGCACUAAUUAAGACAUUGAUGUCCGUACCGUCAAGGAGCCGCGGCCCUGUUAACACGACAUGCUAAUUAAUGAAGGAUCGAGGCAUGUUGUUGGUCUGUACAGAUGGGUGAGAGAGAGAAGUCCUUCGUUUUGGAGUUGCUUGUUGCGGCGUUUUCGAUCUAAUUAAGCUUUCGUCUUUUGAGAGAUUUUUUUUUGUAUUCCGUCUUUUCGACAUUAAUAAAUUAUUUGCUCCGUUUUUGUCCGUGGACGUAGGUCGUUGGCCGAACCACGUAAAUAUCGUUGUGCUCUUUCCUUAUCUUUUCUUUUCCUGUAUUAAGUUAUUUUUUGGAUCUAUUUUUCGCCACUCCGAUUUUAACAAUAACUAAACAACUUAAGAAAGUUUUAAUUGUUUCAAAUAAAUUGUUUAAUAAACUUUUUGCUUUGUAAUUUCCAGAUAUGAUUUUAUUUUUCAGACCAAAAGACAUUUUGUUUCCUUAUAAUUUGUUUGUUAAUUUGAAUGCUUUUGUAUUAAAAACAUUCUAAUAAAAUUUUAGUAGCUAGAAAUUAUGUAAAUAACUAGGCAGAUCAAACUAAAGAUUUUUUGUGAUCGCAAAUAUAUGUAUAAGGCCGAAUUGCUUUUUAAAGUUUUUAUAUUAUAGAUUAUUUUGAUAGUUCUUUUAUAUGCAUAUAUUAAGUAUUAUUGACAAGAACAAGUGUAAUUUUGGAUUUUUUUUCCUUCCUCUGUAGUGGGCUAUUUAUCGCACAGUUGAUGAUCAAUAUUAUGGCACACAAGCUAAAAUAAAUCUAUGGGGUCAUCCAAAUCUAAAACCUCAUCAGAAAAAUUCGGCUGCGAUAUGGAUUAUGAACUAUGAAAAAAUCCCAAAUGUCAUAAUGGCGGGAUUUCAAGUAUGUAAUAGAAAUUUUUCUAUGUAGAUAUGUAACUUCUUAUUCCUAUAUAUUGUGAAGAUUGUCCUAUAAAUAUUAUGAUUUGCACUUUGGUGCUUUUAAAUUUUUUUUCUAUUUUUCCCCUCAAAUCAAUUUUUUAAAAAAUUUUGAUACAUUUUGGGCCAAACAUAGAUAUUUUAAAAUCAUCAGAAGGUAAAGUGCAAAUCACAAUAUUCAUAUAACUUUAAUUCAAAAUAUAUCAAUAAUUGUCAUUUGCAAAUGAUUUCUACAUUUGUUCAUGUAAAACAAUAACAUAUUUCUAAUAAUAAAAAUAUUCAUGUCGAUUACAAAUUAUUGCAAUAAAAAUAAUUAGUUAAUUUCUCUCUAUCUUUUUGAAAACGAGUUUUUAAAUAUGGGCAUAAAAUCUCGAACAAAGAUUAAUUCCAAAAGACUAAAACUUAUUAGCAUUUUCAAAAACAUUGGUUGCAGGUAUAUCCUGAAUUGUAUAAUGAUAGCAAGCUUCAUUUCUUCACAUUUUGGACUGUAAGUAUGAAAUUAAUUUUCUUUCAACUACAUAGCAUGCAUAUACUCAAACUGUAAGGCAGGUUAUCUUUAAUCUCAAAUCUUUUUUUUAUUCUAAUUUCAAUUUCAAAUAUUUAAUCAGAAGCGUAGUAAUCAAUUUAUUAACAUUUAAUAAUAAAAAGAUAAUUUGAAAGUAUUAUAACAUUCUAACCAUUGCCAUAUUAUCAAUCAUAACUAUCAUGAUAAUGCGACAACAACAUGACAUACUAAUUAUUAUUGCAUUAACUCUACAUCAUUAGGGGGAAAAAGAGAAAAAUAUUUAUUUGCGUCAACCGUCAAAUGCACAAAAUCAUCUAUAAACCACUAAAAAUAUUUAUUUGAUGUACUAAAAUGGGUGUCUACCUUAUAUUUGAUAGAUUAUUUAGUGCAUCACAAAUAAAAUUUAUUUUGACACAACAAAUUUUUUAAGAGCAAUGCUCCUAUACACCAAAAACAUCUUAACCAUUAAAAUUUUUUAAAUGGACAGCCAAGAUGCACCCUUUAAAAGAGGAUGACCGGUAUUUGAUACCAUCGGUACCGGUCAACUCUUAACAGGGCAAAUUUUUUUUUUUCAACAAGGGCAUUUUGAUAAAUUUACAUCUUAUAACAUAUCCUCUUUAGCUAGAAAGGUUUGGCGUUACAAGUAAGGAAGGUGUGUAAUUACCUUUCCUAAAUUAACUUUUCUUUACUAAUAUAUUGCAUUCAAAUUUUAAAUAAAAAAUGAUAUAUUAUUGAAAUCAUUUAGUCUACCCCUUAAACUCGAACCUGACUUAAACCAAGGUUAAAAGUUUAGCCAAUUUUGAAUUUAUUUGUAUGAUUUGAUUAUGAAAUAAACUCUUAAAUUUGUUUCUAAUUUAAAAUUUUUUGCAUGGAAAAUUAUAUGUAAAUAUAAAAUAUUGCAACUGAAAAAUUAUAUUAUACAAUUUCUUAGUAAUUGAAUAUGAAAUAUUAUCCCCAAGUGAAUGUUUGAAAGUUAAUUUUCAAACAUAGAAUAAUUUAAUUUAAAUAGUUAACAAAUUUUAUUUUUUUAACUAUAAUAUAAACUAAAUCUAAAUUUAAAAUUUAAUUUUAAUCAAUAUUUUUGAACUUUAAUAUUGUUUUUACUAUCGAAUGAACAAUUUGAAUUUAAUUUUAAAAAUAGAAGCCUUUAAUUUAAAUAAAAAAUAAAAGUUAUGUUUAUAAAUACAGCAUAAUUUACAAUUUCAAAUAAGUUAAUUGUUAAUUUGAAAUUUCGUGUCAUUUUAAUAUCAAAUUAACAAUUUGAUUUGAAAUAUACUAAUCAUUUAAACAUAAAUUUUUUCAUUCAGAAAAUUAAAAUUAAAAUUAAAUUUGAAUUUAAUAUACACAAUUAUAAAGUUUAAGCUCAAAUUUAUUUUUAAAUUCAAUUUUAUAAAGAUUUAUUACUUAUCAAAUUAGUACUAUCUAAUUUGGUAAGUAACAAAAUUAAACAAGGAAACAUAUAUUUGUGUAGGGUUGAUUAACUUUGGUAAUUAGUUUUUAUUUAUUUUCCCAUAUUACCCUUACGAAUAGUAACCUGUUGAGCAGGUUACUACCUGGUGUAUUGAAGCAUUUCUCAUUUUUUAAUGCAUUAGAAACUUAUUUAUCUUUUAUUUAUGGCAAGUAGACAAUUUGAUUCACCUUGUUUCAAGCAAUAAUACUCCUGUAUAUCUUCUUCUUUUUAUUGAUAUGGUACUAACACGGCAAUAAUGUAACAGGUACUAUGGUUAAUAGCUAUAUGAUGCAUGAUAGAACAAUGUAAUGAAUUAUAACUACUAAUUUCAUAAUUAUAACUAACACCACAAUUGGACUAAAUUGCAGUAAUUCGAAGACUGAGAUAGAAUUUAUAAUAAAUUAAAGUAUGGAAACUAAAGUGUCAUUCAUCCUAGUAAUUUAAGGACCAAAUAUCCAAUUUAGCCUUUCUUUUAUAAUCAAUACUUCUUUUUCUUUUUCUGUGCAGGCAGAUGACUAUAACUUAACCGGUUGCUUUAAUCUUCGAUGCAAAGGUUUUGUAGUGGCUAAUUGGAAUAUACUUACACCAGGAGAUGUGAUUGAACCUGUAUCAACUUAUAAUGGUGAUCAAUACUUCAUCACAAUUAGCAUAAAAAAGGUUAAAUGAAUUUUCUUUUCUUUGAGACAUUUAAUAUUUUAUUUCAUAUUACUCAGUAGGAUAGAACAUGGAGUCAUUUAUAUUUGAAGAUAUUUAUUGCUUAUAAUCAUAUUUGAUUAAAUUUAAUAAUAUAAAUAGAAUAGAAUUAUAAUUCAAUGAAAAACAAACGAAAGACAAAAAAAAAAAAAAAAAAAAAAAAAAAAAAAAAAAAAAAAAAAAAAAGAGGGUAGGAAUUUAGUUAUGCUAUAGAGUUAUAGCACGCAAUUACACAAAUGAAAAAAUUUUUGGAGUGAGAAGAGUAGUAGACAAAUGGUGCAUGAUCCGUUAAAUAGUGUAAAAAAAAAAAAAAAUUGAUCUUAGUGUGUGAGUUGACAUUAAUAGUAUUUGGGCGAAAAAAAAAAUCUGGCUAUUUUGCAUAAAAAUAUCACUAUUGUUAAAAUUUUUUUUUAAAAAAAUAGCAUCCUUCUUUUAUUUUUAUAGAUUUUGAUUUAAUUUUUCGUAAUAUGACCAAAAUAAAAAAAAUUUAUUCUGUUUCGGGUCUUUUUAGCAAUUUUUCUCCACUGGCUUUUUCUCUCCUCUCCUCCUCGCUCCUCCACCAACUCUGCUAUACUACGGUCUCCUGUAAACUUAAGAGUAGCGCGUUUAAGCUUCAAAGCUCUAUUUGGAGCAUCAAUAUCUUUAUUCCGUGGUGAUGCUCUCAUAGUUUUACGGGAGAAUUUGUAGUUUGGCUAGAUGAGUAUGAUUAGGUGGCUGCGAAACGAGGCCGGGAGCUCGAGGCGAGUCACUUUUUCAGCUCAAAUAUCAGCUUGAAAUUAAAUUUCGAGCCAAAGAACUAGGGCUCAAGCCGGCGCUUGAAAUUAAAUUCGGCCGGCAGCUCGAGACGAGGCCUAAUUCGAGUCGAGCCGAGCUCGAGCUCUAAACGAGCCUAUUGAAAUUGUCGAAUGUAUAUAAUUCAAUAGUUUAUUUUUUAUAGAACAUUACCUACAAUUUGAUGCAAACAUGUCUAAUAGUUCAAAAAUACAAAAUAUUGUAAAAAAUGUUGAGUUAGAUGACGCCCUGACUGGUGUGAGGGUCUGAGCCUAGUUAGUAAAUUUUCGCGAAUUAUUCGGCGGAAUUAUUCGCCGAAUUAUGUGAAAAUCCAUCUAAACCGGUCGUCUUUACGAUUUUUUUCGAAAGAAAGAGAAUUAUUCGCGCGAAUUUUCAUGGGGCCAGCCCGAAUUAUUCCGCGAAUAAUUCUUGCCGACAUAUUGCCGAAUUAUUGAAAUAUGGAAUAAAAAAAAAAAAAAACUGUAUAAUUUUAUUUUGUAAAAUAUAAAUUAUUUUUAUUUUAUAUCUUAUAUUUUAUAUUUGUAUACUGAAAUUCGUUUUUAAGCCGAAUUUUUCAACGAAUUUAAAAAUAGAAAAUGAAUUUUAUACACGUAUUAUAUUCGGUAUCGAAUUAUUACCAAAUCGGCGCAAUUAACUAACUAUGGGUAGUAGAGAGAGGAGAGAGAGAGAAAGAGAGAGGGGAAAAAAAUUAGGAAUUUGAAAUUUGAAUGUUAUUAUGUUUAGGGUUAUGUGCAACAGUGAAAGGUCUGAAAAAGAGUGGUGUACAUGUUAAAUUUAGACGUUUGGCUCAAUUGCCACGGUUGUCUUAAUUGGGUUUAUUUUAUGGCCAAGCCAAAUAAAUUAAAAUAAUAUAAUCAUUAUAUUAGUUUUAUAUAAGUAUAGUAGUAUUAGUAUAUCUAUAUAUAUAUAUAUAGUAUAUAUAUAUAUUAAUAUUAUAUAUAUAUAUAUAUAUAUAUAUUUUAUAUAAUAUAUAUAUAUAUUCGAGCUUUUCGAGCUUUUCGAGCCUAAUUCGAACGAGCCGAGUAAUACUCAAGCUCGGCUUGAAAUGAAUUUCGAGCCUUUUAUUUUGUUCAAGCUCGGCUCAUUUAAUUUCGAGUCGAGCUCGAGCGAGCCGGAUAUCAAGCCGAACACGAGUCGAACGCGAGCCGGCUCGCUCGUUUGCCAGCCCUAAGUAUGAUUAUAUGUCUAGAAUUUGGUAUUAUAUUCAGCCUUUAAAAUUUUUUUUGUGAAUAAGAUAAAUCACUUUGUAAGUAGGAUGUGCUAUCCUACUAAUAAUGAAUAUCAAGACCUUUUAGGUUAUGUUUGAAGGCAUGAAUAUAUCGUUCAGUGAACCUUUUUAAUUUGUUCAAUAAAUUUGUAUGUUUAAUUAAUAAGAAGUGUGAUCAAAUGUUUAGAAUAAAAUAUCACAUUCAGGCUUUAAUUUUUUUUUUCAAGAAAAAAAUAAAUUAUUUCGUAGAUGAAAUAAACUAUCUCAUCAAAUUAUAAAUAGCAAGAUCUACAUAAAUAAAAACCAAACUAUUUACUUAUAACCAUACUAAAAAAUCCUAAUGCGGAAUAAGUUAUUCAAAUAUAACUUAUUUCGAUAUUCAAACAGAACUUUAAAAAAUAAAAAUCAAAUUUAUUUUUUAUAAUUACACUAAAAUAUUUUUAUACAAAAAAACAGUUUUGAAUAAUUUAUUUUGACCUCUAAAUAAGACGUAGGCGUAUCUAACGUUAUUAGAUAAAAUAGAGUUGGGGUAAAAAAAAUAUAGUGAUAUAUUUUUGCGCUCUCCGGUGGGACUACAUAAAUAUAUUGUAACCAACUAAUUACGAUAUGCGGAACAUGAUAUUAUGUAUAAAAAUAAAAAAGAUAUUUUUUUCAUCGUACUUUUUUACUAAAAAUAACACAAUCUCGCCGCAAUCUCAAAUGAAGCUAUAAAAUUUAAGCAAAUUUUUGCUUCUCAUUUGGAGUGCACAUUCUAAUAAUUUAACUUGUGUGCUCUUUAGUUCGUACUAUUUUUUGUUAGAUUAGGGUAUUUGGGUUCACCAAACAUCCUUUUUGGUAGUUAUUGUGUUGUCGCAAAUUUUUUUUUAAUGUUUAAUAAAUUAUACAGAAAACAUCUUCUAUCUUACAGUUUAAAAACAAAAAUUACUUAGGCAGUGGGCAUUUUGGGUAACCCGUGGGUACCUACAGAUACCCGCACAUAUUUUUUUAAUUACAAAAUAUAUUUUUUAAUUAAUAUAUAUUUUUUAUUUACUCAUUUUAAAAAUUCUAAUCCUAAUUUUUUAUUGCGUGUCUUUUAUAUUAUAAAAUAUUUUUGCUUUAAGGCUUUAAAUAUUUUUAUUGUAUGCUAUAAUAUUUUAAACAAUGAAUUAUAUUAUGCUUUUAAAACUUAUAUAUAUGUGUUUUGCACUUAAAAAAUAUAAGAGCAAAAAAAAAAAAUUACGGGUAACCCACAUACCCACCCGCCCACUCGUGGGCGGGUAUGGAUAAAGAUGUUGGCUAUUAAAAAAUUUACGGAUAAAUUUUAUCCAUACUCAAAUAAUCCGCCUACGAGUUACCAAACCCGCCACUUUGCCAAGUUCAGUUAGUACGAUAUGCUAUCCUUACAAAUAACGAAUAUCAAGAUUUUUUAGGUUAUGUUUGAUGCAUGAAAAAUAUAAAAUAUAAAAUAUAAAAUAUUUUCAAAUUUGAAAAAAAAUAAAAUUUAGAAUUUAAAAUUAUAAAUUUGAAUUUGAGAUUACAAAUUAUAAAUUUUAAAAAUUUAUAUUUAAAUUUUUAAUUUUUAAAUUUUAAAAGUAAAAAUAGGGGUGGGAACAGCUGUUCCCAACCUUAGCGGAUUAUCCAAAAAUAAUAAUUUAAAAUUAAUAUUAAUUAAAUUAAUUAAUAAUUUUAAAAUAUAAAUUAAAUUAAUUAUAAUUAAAAUUAAUUAUGAGAGUUCAAUUAAUCUUGUUUUCGCUUAUUCUAGGGAUAAAAGUGGAACAGUAAUUUCAGCAAAUUAUAUCAGCUUAUUUUAGAUAUCCGGAAAUUAUUAUUCUCGGAUACAAAAUUAAUCUUUUGAUCCCCAUCCUUAUUUUGGCACCAAUAAGAUGUUAAAAAAAAUAUAAAAUAAUUAUUACAUAUUUUAAAAGAUAAUAAUAUUUUUUAAUAUUUAUAUUCAAAAGAACUAACAUAUUGGUGGCGACGGAUUUAUGACGGUGCAACCAUAGGGUACAAUUGUACAAAAGUUUAACUUUUCCCUUCCUUUCAAAUAGAGAAACGACAAAAUGUGAAUAUUUCAAACCCUGUAGGAAUAAAUUGAAUCUCACACUUGCACAUCUAAUUUACCUCUCUCUUACGCACCCAUGAAGCAUCCAAAGUUACCUUUGAAUGUUCGUUUGAUUCAAAAGUAUUUUGUAAAAAAUAAAAAUUCGUAGAAAAUUUUUUUAUACUUUAUAAUAUUUAAUUUAUAAAAAAAUAAUUUUUUAUUAAUAUUUAUUUGAUUGAAAGGCAAAAUAUUCAUAUUUAUUUAGUCCAGUAAAAAAAUAAAGAAAAAAAAAUUUACGCAGUUCGAGUUUUCGCUUUCGGUCGAAAAACAGUAAAAAAAAUAUAAUUUUUAUUUUUUUCAAAUUUAUAAAAUACAUAUUUUUAUAUCGAGCUAAACAAACGAUAAAAUAUUUUUCAUACUAAAAAUAAAUUUUCAUUUCGUUUUACGUGGAACGGGAACAAGAGCCAAGCCUGAUACUGUGUGGUCCGUACCAACAGCAGCAGCUCCCAUCAUCCAGGCUAGCCACUUUCCAACUCCCAUCUGCUUCUCUUGUGCCUCCUUCCCAUAAAAGCACAGGGAAACCCUUCUUCCACCGCCACCAGCUGUACAGUUUUUCUCCAUUCAUAUGUGAGAAAGAGGAAAACACCACAUCUUGAAGACGUUUUUUUUUUUUUUUUUACUCCCAUCUCCUACCAACAGCAAUUGGCAGCAGCAGCAGUACAAAUAACAAGGGUUUAUAAAUUUGAGAGAGUUAAAAUUCGCGAGAGUUAAAAGAGUCCUUUCAUUUCCCCAUUUCCCUUAAAUAAGAAGAGAGAGAGAGAGGGGAAAGAGAGAGAGAGAGGGGGGGAAAUGGCUUCUCUCUCUGCAGCUCUCUCUCACACCCUAUUCCUUUUCCUCAUCUGCAUUGCUUGCUUUUGCUCUGCCCACAAAUCAGCUUUUGCUCAUGUGGGUUCUCCUCUCUCUCUCUCUCCUUUUCUCACUCAAUCAUAUUGUCUGCUAAUUUGGCUUGUUUCUUACAUGGGUUUUACUGCAAUUUGGGUUCAGGAGGAAGAGAGGUGGCCUCUGGCGGCGCCGGCGCAGCGGCGGCUGCGGUCGGUUUUGCUCAAUCAAACCGAUUUACGGGGCCGGCGGCUCACCGGGAGCUUCCAGCUCUGUGCUCUCUGCACUUGCUGCGGGGGGCCGAGAGGGCUCUGCCUGCCUUCCCCCUGCUGCUAUGCUAUCAACUGCAACAUACCCAACAGGCCCUUCGGAUUCUGCUCCUUCACCCCGAAGACAUGCAACUGCUUUGGGUGCCAUCUCUAGUACUCUUCUUCUUCUUCUUCUUCUCUCACAUUAUAAACUGCUUCCUAUUUCCAUUUGCUUAGUUGUUAGUAAGUUACUUAAUGUGGUGGGAAUGUCAAUUGUGAAUAAAGGGUGGGUAUCUCAUUUUCUGGGCUUCUCUUUUUUGUUGUUGUUAGUAUAAUGGUUUAUAUUGUGUUUUUGAUUGCAUUGGAUUGGACGUUGUCGACGAGUCGCGUAAGAUUAAUUAAUUUUACAUCUAUAUAUUGGAAGUAAGUGAUUUCUUCUUGAAAUAUACAGGAUAUAGCUGUGAAGAUGUUAUACAAUGUUAUGCCACUUGCUUAGUGUGUUAUUAGUCAUUUUGGUGGGAGUGUUAAUUGUGAGAAGAGAAACAUCCAUUCCCUAUCCUUUUUGUUGCCCAAAAGACAAUCUAAUUGAAAACGAAGCAGGAUUAGUCUUAAACUCCUUUCAUGUGCAUGGUGAAUAUCAGGUGGAUCAUACCACGUGCACUGACUGAAGAGGUAACAAAAGAGACAAAUGAAAUAAUGGACGAGAAUAAUAACCGUCAAAUAAUCGAUGUGGGAAUCGAACUUAGAGACUUUUUGAAACAAAGGCGCUUAGGACCGGCUCUGAGACCAUGUUAUCCAAAAGAUCGAUCCGGUAGGAAAUGACCUAGGAUUAGUCUUAACACUUUUCAUAUGCGUUUGAAUCAAGUGUUUAUAUAGUGUCUUGCAUAUGCAUUGCAUUGGACUUUGUUAGAAAGUUAAGUGUUGUUAAAAACUUAACUAGCAAUGUUUAGGGUGGGAAGUAGAUGUUUUGUUCUUAAAACAUUUACAGGGGAGUAAUGUUGUGGAAAUAAGAGGAAGAUAUAAUGAGAUAGAGAGGGGUUAUUGUGGAAGGGUGUUGGGGUGUUGUCAAUUUGCAGUAGUUGUACAUUUGUAUUGCCAACCAGAAAUGCUAAAGGUGGGUGGGAGUUGGAUGGGUGCAUUAAUGCCUUUUAAUUAUGCUGUUGUGCUAGGUUGUAUAAUUAUUGUGAAGUUGGGCUAUUUAUGUGGUUGCUUACUAAGGGGGCUAUUAAUGUUGUUGUUUUUUCUUCUUUCUUUCUACUUUGAACAUGGUCCAUAGUGUGAGGGCAUCAAGGUAUUUCAAAAGAGAGAGAUGGUUGAGCCUUGUGGCAAAGGGAAGUGUUAUUAGUACACUCGGUUUUUUUUUUGAAACCGGCCAAAUUCGGUCGGUGCGUUGUGACCGUAUUUGACAUUUAAUGAAUCUAUUUUUCAAUAUCAAGAUCUCAUAUGUUAAUAGCAUCAGACCGUGCUAAUACUUUUUUCCAUGCUUUGUAAUGAGUGCGCGACCUUGGGAUUAAAUUGCUAAACCUCAUUGAGACUUUCCUGUAGUGCGUGUAGGGUUUGAGGUUUAACUCAAAACUUUUGUGUGGCCGAAAGAGGUGACAUUGAUAAAUUGUAGAAUUCAACUAACUUGACAGAUGAAACAAAAAAUGUAGCUUCUUGUUGGCUUAAAGGGGUUCGAACUGGCAGGAGGUUAGUUGGGCCGAGUUACAAUCGAGAUCCAUGGGCGCUGUGUCUGAAUUGAUUGCAUCUUUUUAACGGCUUAAGUUUUUAAAUUAAUGGUUAGCGCCAACGAUCUGACACUUCCAACGGAGCUGGGAUCAAGGAUAAUUACUGACCUUGCUUUAGAUAAAUAUGAAGUGCCCCUCACUGUAAAAAUUCUCUAAAAAGCGAAUCUUCAAAAUGAGCGUUUCCAAAUGAUCUUCGCAAAAAAAAAAGAAGAAGAAGUACGAACUCCUAUAUCUGGAAAAUCAAUAGCUGAGAUAGGUACUGUUCCAUGCAUGUGAAUUCCCCUUGAACAUGGUGGGCCAAAGUGACCCCACACUCUUUUACUGCAUCAUCUUGUCGCCAUUCAUUCAUGCUAUUGAAUUCACACUUCAGUGAAUUCUAGGAAUCUCAUUGACCAAAUUGUGGAAUUGUUUUGCUUCUCCAUGUGCAUUGUUGUGAAGAACCCCUAGAUGCAUGCGGUGCCAACACUUCAAUUAUAAUACCAUAAGUUUAUCAUAGCACACACUUUGGGGGCAAUUGCACUCAAUAAGUAUCAAUGUCUCAAACUAAAGCUUGUUGUUCCUGUCCCCCCUGAACCCAUAUAAAGCUCCUAAUUUUAUUGCCAUAAAUCAAUGGAUUAGUACUCAUUGCUGUCAUUUUAAAGUGCUUCAGCUGUCAUCUUGUUGAGAAGAGCUUGGCAUGUGGUGUGCAUGUGGCUUAUCAGAUUAAUAAAAUAAACCAUUCUUGGUAGGUAGCAAGUUGUGUUACUGCAUCUAUGCCCUCUUUUGGAGGCAAGAGUAGGAGAGAAAAGAAGAGAGAAUAAAGAAGGGAAUUAAAAAGAGAAAAGAGAAAGGAAGAUGAUUUUCUCUUCUGUUGUUCAGAUGUAUAGAAGUGAAACAAAGAGAAAACAAACUUUUAAUGGGGUUACAUCUCUUUUUCUCCAAUUUUAGAGGGGGGAAAGUGACCAUUACAGCUUGUAUUCUUCUUUCAGAUUUUAUUUUUCUCCAGCUUAAUUUAUCCUUCUACAGAGAGGAAUGAUAGAAUCUUUUCUGUUGUCUUCUUACAUACACAUAUAGACCUAGGCUGGCAUACUAUCGGUAGCAUAAAAGCGUCUGUGUUACCGAGUUGUUUUCAAUAAUAUAGCUUUCAAAUCAACGAGCAGCUCUGUUAGACUUGAUCUAUACUAUUGAAAUUAUUUGGAAACUAAAUUUCAUAAUUUUUCGAUAUCAUUUACCUAUCAAACGAGUAGUUUAAAAAUGAAUGGUUGCAAAUAAAAAUCUCAUAAAAAAUAAUGAUAAAAGAUCUGAAUUUAAGAUCAGAGAUACUGAUCUUACUCUAAAUAGUGAAAAGAAUUUUUUAUAAAAAUUUCAUUAGAUUUAGAUUGUUUUAUACCGUUAAAUUUACAAACGCAUUAUAUCGACAAUUAAAAUUGUCAAUUUUGAGACUUUUUGAUCACUAGUUAAAUGAUGUCGAAAAAUUAUAAAAUUUAGUUUCCAAAUAUUUUCAAUAGUGUAGAUCAAGUCUAACGGAGUCGAUCGUUGAUUUGGAAGCCGCAUCAUUGAAAAAAACUUUUAGCAUAGAGGCCUCUGUGCUACUGAUAGUAUACCCACCUCUCUCUCUUUCUCUCUCUCUAUAUAGAGAGAGAGAGAGAGAGAGUAUAUAGAGAGAGAGAGAGAGAGUAGGUCUUGUGCGCUAUUAGGAGUACGGAGGCCUCCAUGCUCCUAAGCCGUUUUCGAUAAUGGAGCUUCCGAAUUGAUGAUCGGCUCCGUCAGACUUGAUCUAGUAUAUUUGAAGUAUCUAGAAAAUAAAUUUUGUGACUUUUCGAUAUCAUUUACCUAACGAUCGAAAGGGUUCAAAAUCAACAGUUGAAAAUAAAAAUCUUACAAAAAGUGGUGAUAUAGUAUGAAAAUUUUCGAUCAAAUAUAUUAAUCUUUCUGUAAAUAGUAUAAAGAAUUUUCUAUCAAAAUUUCAUCUGAUUUGAACACUUCUACACCGUUAAACUUGCAAACGGUAUACAUCAACCAUUAACAAUUGUUGAUUUUGAACCCUUUCGAUCGCUAGGAAAAUGAUACCGAAAAAUCACAAAAAUUAUUUUCUAGAUAGUUCAAAUACGUUAGAUCAAGUCUAACGGAGCCGAUUGUCAAUUUGGAAGCUCCAUUAUCGGUCGCCUUUAUACUCAUAAGUCGUUUUCGAUGAUAGAGCUUCUGAAUCAACGAUUCAUAUCGUUAAACAUUAUUUAGAGCAUUUAAAACUUCUAGAAAUCAAAUUUUAUAAUUUUUUAACAUCAUUUAUCUUACGGUCAAAAUAUCUUAAAAUUGACAAUUUUUAACGGUCGGUAUGAAAUAUUUACUUGUUUAACGGUGUAAAAGUAUUGGAAUCGGUUGAAUUUUUUAUAGAAAAUUCUAUUCACUAUCUAGAUAAAGAUUAAUAACCCCGAUCUUAAAUUGAAGGAUCUGAUCAUUUAUUUUUAGAGCGUCGUUUGAUUUUGACCAUUCAUUUUAUGCCCGCUUAAUAGAUUUUAUUAUAAUUUCAAAAAAUUACGAAAUUUAUUUUUUAGAAAAUUUUAAAUACUCUAGAUCAUAUUUAACGGAGUGGAUUGUCGAUUCAGAAGCUCCAUCAUCGAAAACGACUAAUAAGUACGAAAGAUUUUAUACUCAUAAGAGUAUAGUAGUCCUACUCUCUCUCUCUCUCUCUCUCUCUCUCUCUCUCUCUCUCUCUCUCUCUCUAUAUAUAUAUAUAUAUAUAUAUAUAUAUAUAUAUAUAUACUAUAUUUUUAUAAAUAUAGAUUUAUUUGUACUUAUAAAUUUUCGAUCGUUAGAUUUAUUCUUUUGACCUUAAUUUUUAACUUUUUUAAAACUAAAAUUUUUUUAUGAAAAAAAUUAUUACAUUUAAUACCUAUAUCAUAUUUGUUGUUUUAUUUGCUAGAAAUAUAUAUAAAAAAUUUAAUUAAAAUAAGUUCAAAAUACAAUAAAUUGAACAAAAGUUUUGAGCUAGAUGGAAAUAUAGAAAGAAAACCAGCUCCUAAAAGUGGAGAUGGGAUAACACAGUGGACAAAGUCCAGGAAUUAAUUUGAUAAGAAGCCCCAACACAAGUGCACUUUUAAUAGGAUACGGAUACUCAAAAUUUUAAAAAUUUUAUUCGAAUCUAAACUUGAAUAGAAUGAAUUUAUCCACUGCUAAAUGGAAUAGAAUGAAUUUAUCCACUGCCAAAUGGAUAUAGUUUUGGAUAUAGAUAUAAAAAACGAAAGCCCGGCAUAUUUGAAUUCGAAUAUGGAUUUUGAGCCCGUAUUCCAACUAAGCUCGAAAUUAUAUAUAUAUAUAUAUAUAUAUAUAUAUAUAUAUAGAACUAGGCUGGAUUACUAUUAAUAGAACCAAUGACUUGGUGCUAUUAAAUUUUCUGCCCUUAGAUUAAAAGAUGUGCGGUUAGAAUGAUGUGGGCCUCAUAGGGUUGAGUGGGUGAUUGGUUGAAUAGUAUGAUCUAACGGGUAAAAAUAAUCAAAGGGGUUAAUCUAACGGCAGAAAACUUGAUAGCACAAGUGUUUGGUGCUAUCAAUAGCAUAACAGCCGGACUCUCUGUCUCUAUAUAUAUAUAUAUAUAUAUAUAUAUAUAUAUAUAGAGCAGGACUGCUGUGCUCUCAGGAGCACCGAGGCCUCCGUGCUCCUGAGCUGUUUUCGAUGAUGGAAUUUCCGAAUCGAUGAUCGGCUCCGUUAGACUUGAUCUAGCGUAUUUGAAGUUUCUAGAAAAUAAUUUUUGCGAUUUUUCGAUUAUUUACCUAGCAACACGAAAAGGAUUCAAAAUCAAUAUUUUUAAGGCUGAAAAUAAAAAUUCUUAUAAAAAUGGAUAUAAGAUAGCACUAAAUUUCUCGCAUCAGAAAUAUUGAUCUUGUUGUUAGAUUGAGGUAUAAAUUUAUUAAAAUUUUGUAUCAAAAUUUCAUCUGAUUGGAAUACUUUACACCGGUUAAAGUUGAAACGGAAUAUCAACCGUUAAAAAAUGAUUAAUUUGGAAUCUUUUGAUCCACUAAGUAAUUGAUAUCAAAAAUUGUAAAAAUUAGUUUUCUAGGAAACUUCAAAGUAUCCUAGAUCAAGGUCUAGACGGAGGCGUCAAUAGAUUUGAAAAUUCCGCAUCAUCGAAAGGGCAUCAGGUACGGAGGCCACAGCAGACCUGCUAUUUCCCUUCUCUCUCUCUCUCUCUUCUUCUCUUGCUCUCUUAUAUUCACUAUUAUAAUAUAAUAUUAUAUAGAGGAAUACUAUUGCUAUCGGAAGACGAGCCUUCGUCGCUUCAGCUUGAAAUUUUUGAUAGAAAUUCUUGUUACUAUAUAAAAACAAGAUCAAUAUCUUUGAUUUUAAAUUUUAAUGUCUAUUAUUCAUUUUAGUAGAUUUUUAUUUUCACCGUUGAUUUUGAGCUCCUUCGUUCACUAGGCAAAUAAUAGUUGAAAAUAAUUAGAAAUUAAUUUUCUUAGGUACUCCAAAUGACUUAGAUCAAGUUUAACGGCAGCGAUCGACGAUUCGAAGAGUCGCAACAUCGAAAACGAGCUUGGAAGGAACGGGAAGGCUCCGUGCCUUCGAUAGAUAGUAGCCCUACCGCACGGAAGGCUCCUGCUUCAGGAGUAGCCAUAAGUAGCUGAGGCUACUAUAGCGUAUCGGAAGGACGGAGCCUUCGUGCUUCCAGCUCGCGAGUUUAUCGGAUUGGUUGCGACUUUCGCAAUCGUCGAUCAGGCGGUCCGAUUAAACUUGAUCUAGAGUAUUUUAGUACUAGAAAAUAAUUUUAUUGAUUUUCGAUUGUGAUUUGCUAGGUGAGUCGAAUAGGCUGCAAAAUCAACAAAUUUCAAUGCCUGUCAGAGCGUUGGGCAAAGUUUAACACGGUGUAGAAAUAUCCAAUCGUGCAAAUUGUAAUGUCAUAUAUUUUAAAUUAUGAAAUUUGGUUGAUUUUGAGCUCCUUCGUUCACUAGGCGAUAAUAAUAUCGGUAAAAUUAAAAUUUUUUUUCUAUGAUACUUCAAAUACUCCGUAGAUCAAGUUUAACGAGCCGAUCAACGAAUUUGCAAAAUACGCACAUCGAAAACGAAUAGCUGCAAGCACGGACACGCUUCGCGUGCGUUACCGAAUUAGAUAAGGGUAGCCUCACUUCUUCUCUCUCUCUUAUAUAUUAUAUAUUAUAAUAGAUCGAGAGAGAGGAGAGAAGUGAGCUAUGAUAUAUUUACAGUUCGUACACAUGCGUGCUAUUAGGUUUUAAGCCAUUGGGAUCUACGUUUUUGAUUAUUUAAUAGUCCUUGGAUUAAACACUAUUUCACUCACAUCACCUACACCUACCACAUCAUACUCAAACCUACACAUCUCUCCAUCCACUGGGCUAAAACACAAAGUAUCACCCCGCCUGAUACUUUUACAAGUAUGUCUAGCCCUACUCUAUAAGAUAUAUAUAUAUAUAUAUAUAAUAUUUGAUGUUGUAUUUGAAUGUUUUCUAAAAAUUUAGAUCUGAUGUAAUAUAUUUUGAAAUAUUAUAAAGAGAAAUUAUCAUUUCGGGUUUCAAAUUUUUGUAUUCGGAUUUUAAAUUUUUUGUCGGGUUCGGAUUUGGAUAUGAAUUUUUAAAAUCUGUGAAUUCGGAUUUGAGUUCGGAUUUUGGGUUUAGAUUUUUAAAAAUCUAUCCUGAAUCCGACUCUUUGACGUCCCUAGUCAAGCUAAACAUUGUUUGCCAACUACGUCCUCUUUAGCUUGAAAUUGCACAGAUUUUCUCCUUUAAUAAACGAGCAGAUCACGAGCUCACAUUUUGCGCUUCAAUAGUUAAAUUUGCCAAACAUGAGUUGACUCUAGUUUGUGUAUUUUUUAAUUGAUAUAGCUCGAAAAUAAAUAAGUAAUAUUUAUAUAAAUGUUACUUUUACCAUAGCAAAUUUAAAUAUUAUUUUUAAAAUUUUAAUUUUUUGCUAGCAUAACAUUUUGUAUUGAACACCUUGUAACAGUAAGAGCAAAAGAAAUCAUCAAAAAAAAUAAAUUAGUAAAAAUACAAAUCAUAGUUAGUUUUAAAAUUUUAUAAAAGUUUAAUUUGAGUAGGCUUGAAAUAAAUCCGAACAAGCUCAAAUUAAUUUCAAGUUGAAAAUUAGCUGGGUAAUCUCGCUUGUUUAAAUUUGGAGCGAAAUAGAAAUCGACUCACAUUAUUUUCGAGAUGAUCUCGAGUUAGUUCCAACUCGCUCGUGGUCGACUUGUUUACAGCAUCAACAUAUUGCUCCAAAAAAAAAAAAGAGAGAACAAAAUCAGAAAAUUACAUUAUUUUCACUCAUUACUUAUAAUUUUAGGAGGAAAUGAAAAAAGAGAAAUAAAAAAGUACAGGAAACAAGGAGAAUAAUUUUGCAGUGAUCCUUAAUAUAAUUAUCUAACAAAUGAAAUGAGAAAAAAAAAUAAAAGCUGGUGGCAUCUUGAGUGUAGAUGAAAAUAAAAACAAAAAAAAUGUAGAAAAUCCUUUGUAAUAAUAAUCUAACAAUAUUUUUUUUAAUUAAUUGUACCUAGUGCAAGUGAUAAAGGAUUUGAUAGUUGAUUUUAAAUUGGAAUUCUAGUUACUUUACAUUUUUAGGUAACUUUAUUUUUUAAAAAAAUAAACGAAAUAAGUAACAUGUCUUAUUUCUCUCAAAAAAAAAAAAGAAAUUGAAAAAAACCUUGUGGUAAUUGGAGUGUAGUGGAAAAUAAAAACAAAAAUUACAGAGAGAGAUACUGUCCAUUCCUAGUGUAAGUGGUAAUGGGCUUGGUCGUUGGUAUUCGAGAUCCCAAGUUCUAAGUCUAGUUAUUUCACAUUUCAAAUUAAAGUUUAUUUUUUUAAAAAAUGAACGAAGCGAGUAGUAUACUAUCUUAAAAUAAAAAAAUAAACGAAGAGGAUACUAUGCUACAUUUCUUUCUCAAAAAAUAAAAAAAAAACUGUUGAUAAUCUGGCAAUUAUAAUGUGCAGAAAUUUAGUUUGUUCCUACUUAUAUUAGAUAGAAUUUUCUUUUUAAUUUUUAAGUUUUAAUUUUUUUCUUAGUGCUAGCUCUUAGGCCUUUAACUGCACUUCUGAAUCCAACCCACCUCAAACCUAAUGUGAGAGGCAAGAAAGGCUCAUUUAUUUGCACAAUUGGAUGUUAAAUACAAGACUUCAAGCUUCAUUAUAAGUGUCUUAACCACCAAGAUAAAGAUAGAUUAGUCAUUCUGUAAAUUUAUCAACAAAUUAAUAUUUUUAUAAUAAUAAUAUUUUGAAAUUGAGCUGUGUGAUCAAUAUGCUCAAAAAGUUUUUUAAGCAUAAAUUUUAUAUUUUCUUCCUAAAAAAUCCUCUCAUUUACAUUAGUCCUAUCAAUUUUUUUUUUCUUUUUUCAAAAGAGUGUUUAAGGAAUUGUUUGUUUUCUCAAGGGUUAGAAGAGGCCCGGCGUUACGAGUUCCAACCGUACGUCUGAUUUCGACUUUACCUCAGUGGGCGGUGAAGUUGACUUUUCAUUGCAUACAUACGGGAAGUCAGAGACGGUACUCACAGACUCUAAAUUCGUCGGUCUUCUUCAAAUAUCUGCAUUCGUGAUUCGAUGAGGCACACCUCAUAGCUCGGACAAAAUAAAUAAAAAAAUGCUUCUUCUAUACUUAAAAAGAUGAGUGUAGAUCUUACACUCCCAUCCUAAAGUUGAUAAAAAUUCUAGUAAAAAUAAAAAAAAAGUUGAUAUGAUAAGUAAAAUAAUAAGGACAUCGAGAUAAAGCGGAUAAAAGAUAUAUAUCCUAUUUUGAAAUGUACCCGUAAUAUUACUCAAAUAGACAUCCUAAAUU